rnacentral:lncRNA from 1 species
GUGGAGGAAGAGACUGCUAACAUAGAGAUUGGGAUGAACACGGAACAAUAUGAUCCUAUUGACAGAGGAAUAAAGUGCACAAGUGAAUCUAAGGUAACUGAUCUGAUUGAUAUAGACUAUAGAACUAAAUUGAAGAAUUAUAUGCAUAACUUUAGUACGAAGAUAAUAAAGACUGUGAUUGAAUUUCCUAAUGAGAUAAGUGACGAAAUGGAUAACAAUUACGAUAUUGAGGAAGACAAGGGAGGGAUUGGUGAACAAUGGAGAAAAGUUGAUGAAGAGGGAAAAAGAAUCAAUUUCUCUCUCUCUUCCGCUAUCAGUUUAAUUACUGAAUUGGAUGUUGUAACUAGAUUACAAUUUACCUAUAAUGGCAAGCUAGAAUCCAUGGAUGUUUUGAAUUUUAUGGAGAAUGGUGGUUUUGUUGCACCUACAUUGGAAAAAGUUGAAAUCGAUUUUACAUGUGGAAAAAAGUUUCUUUGAUAGUAAGUUCUUCAGGAAAGAAUCUUUUCCCAGGUGACAAUGUGCAGUUAAAAAAGGCCCAUGAAGGUCGCCAGGAAAAAGCUAGUAUCAUGUGCAGCCAAAUAGAAGCCUGCAAAAAUGAGAUACCAGUCAUUAAUAUUGUUGUUUGGCAUGAGUAGAAAUUGUGGAGAACUGUUGGGCACACUUAGAGUCUUAAGAUACAGGGAGCUAUAGCAGCCUUGAAAAGCUUCAUGGCUGCUUACCUCGUAGUUUUGGACAAUAAGGGUUCUCAUGUCGUUACAUCACGACAUUGUGAGAAACUAACUGAUUUUGAUGUGGUUUCUAGACAAGGGUCUACACUUCCUCUUGGGGCUUCGUACAAAAUAAUUCAGAUAGUUGAUCAAAGUAUUCUGUGGAGCUUUCUUCUUGUCAUGCUUGCUCUUGCUAAUUUUGAGAUGUUGGAAAAGGGUGGAAGAAAUAUUGUGUCUUCACUCAAAGAGAAGCAAUGUAGUUACCAUGUUGACUAUAAGAGUAAAUUGGUGCAGCUGAAGCAUAGUUUAAAAUUCAUGAACAAGUUAUGCAAUACUAUUAAUGUGGAGAGGCAUCGACUCAGUUUUAUAUUAAGGCUAAUCGUUGCACUUUCAGUUCUUAGUAUUGUCUCUUUUACAUGGUUCAUUAUACAUGGCCUUGGAGGGCAGAUACAACAACAGUUACUAAUGGUGAUGAAGAUGCAUAGCCUGCCAGAUGGGUUAACUUUUGCACUUCGUAGUGAAAUUGAUACAACCAAAACUACUUUUAUUGGUAGGGUGAUGACGAGAAGAUAUGUCAUUAAGGAUAUGUUUCUACCUUGUGACUUGUUUUGGGAUAUACUGACGGGAAGGGAACAAUUGCAUUGUAUUGGAAGAUUAACACAUUUCAAAGGUUCUAUUUUACAUCAAAUUUUGGAGAAAUUUCUCAAGGAUAGUAACCUCUUCUGCGGUAAGGCAGUUGACAAGGCACUUGGAAAGCAAGGUAGAUAUAUGAGGAGGAGACUCAAUGUAGCCAUUUUAUUGGUCCCUAAAACUGCUGACAGUAAGUUCGUUGAUAUUGAGUUAAAGGAUAUUGCCCUGUGUUGGUUUUCUCCUUGCAGUAUGACUUUGUUAAGCAUGACUUUUGGAAGCAUAAGUGCCUCAUGGCAGAGGAUAUCCUUGACAACAGAAUUGUCAAAAGAGGUAAGGAGGUUGUGUGUCAGGUCCUUAUCAAAUGGACUGGCAUAGAUAUUGUACAAGGCUACAAGCUGCUUAGGAAUUCUUGUCUGAAGUGCAACAUGUUUCCUUCUUCUCCAUUCUUGAGGUCAAGAAUAUUGUUCUUUACGGAGGGGUAUUAAUACAAGUAUUGGAUAUACAAGUGAUCGAGAUAGUCAAAGAGAUCAAGAGAAUCGAGCUUGAGUUGAUUUGGAGUUUAAUUAGUGGCUAGACUAUUUUUACUGUUUCAUUACUUAAUGUUUACAAAAUUUGUUAUAGCUGUAACUGUUAGUUACUGUCACUGUAGCAUUUCCAAUUAGUAGUUAGUUAGAGGUAGUUACUCUCAAUGGUGUCUGUAAAUACUCUCAUUUGUACUCUACAGAUUCAUUGAUUGAUAAUACAAAAUUCUCUCUGCUUAAAUCUCUCUUCUUCUCUAAUUAGCUGAUUCUCGAAAGUUCCAUCCCUGAUCAGCCAUCGUAGUUCAUCGAGCUUAGCUCCUUGAGCUGCAGUUAUCAUUUACGUGCAUCACAAGAUCCCUCAGUUAAAAUGAACUAUAGAGUAUCAUACAUACAACAACAAAAAAUCUAGUGCAAGUGAAGUUUGAACAUGAUCGUGUAUAUGUAUAUCUUACUCCACCAGUUCCUUAUGACAAAUCAAAUCUCUUAGGUUCCGUAGAAAAUAUUGUUGCAAAACUCCAGUUAAAUGAGCUAUAGAGUAUCAUACAUACAACAAAAAAAAAAUCUAGUGCAGGUGAAGUUUGAACACAAUCGUGUGUAUACAUCUCUUACUCUGUUGGUACCUUAUUACAGGAGAAGAGCUUACUUACUUAUGAGCAAAAAGGGAAGACGAAGUCUCAGGAGAUUCGGUAGAGGAGAUGGAGCUGGUAAAGGUGACCAGCAGGGAGAUCAGGUUCGCCUUCAUCGGGUUUGGACGUUCAGCUGCUCAAGGGAGUUUUGCAGGGAAUGCUGAGCGCUAAUCUAAGUCUUGAGAGAGAAACCUUUUAGGUUUCGGAGAAAAAUAUGGUCGCAAAAUUGAAACUUGAAGAAAUCAACUUUGACAUGAUGUUAAGCUUUAUUAGCCCAUUAGAUUUUACGUUUCAUUCAUCGUAACUUGGAUGUAGAUGUCCUUUCGUAUUAAUAGACUACCCAUUCAAAAAUAUUGUAGCGUAAUAUCCCUUUUAUUUUAUAUUUUUAAAAUUCAUGGUGUAUUUAAUUUAACUUUCUUAUAUUUAUUUUCUGCAAUAAAUUUACAGAAAAAUCAAAUUUCUAUUUCUUUGUAACGUAAAUAAGGGCGUCCCUUCCAAUAGAGGGGAUUACAGUCCCAAACCCUAACCAGCCGACUUUUCUCUCCGGUCAGUACUCUUCAUUUUCUACUUACAUUUACUAUUUCUCUUUUUUUUUUCCUUCGCAUUUCCAUUUUUUAGCUAUGUAUAUUUUCAAUUUAUACCAAGAUCUAUAUCACAAAACUUUGUUACUGCUAAUAAUAUAUCAAAGUUCAAAUUUUUAUGUCCGCAUUUUCAAUUUCUCUGCAUUUUAUUAUCGAUCGAUUGGAUUUAAUGGUGUUUUUUUUUUUUUUUAGCAUUAUUGCUUGUGUUUUUUUUUGGCAUUUGAUUUGGUGAAUGUUAUUAUUAUUUUUUUAAUUGCUUAUUUUAAUUCCACUGGGUACCUGGGGUACCAGGUAGCUCUGUCCACCAAGGCUAAAUGACCCUAGUGUUUUUUUUUUCGUCUCCGUUGGGGUAUGGUCCUGAGAUGUUAGGGCUCUCAAUUACUUCGUUGAUCACUGGAGACACCGUUGGGUGCUUUUCAUUGCGUAAUUUGUUGUUGACAUUAUGCGUGUUUAUGUUUUUUGUGGCAAUUGAUUGGAUGUUUUGGAUCUUUUUUGAUUUAGAAUGGUGUUUGUUAUGGUUUGGUUUGUUCAGCAUUUUCAUUUGUGGUUUCUGCAGGGUUGAAAAUGAUGAUGAUUGCAUGUUGUGGGAUUGGUGUUCUACUGAAAUAAGCAAAUUUUAUAGCCUCGGGUUGUAAAAAUUCUGUCUUUAUUGAAAUUUCAAACCUUUUUGCUUAUCGAUUUCAGGCAGCCAUGGAUGGAAAUGGCGGUAUGAAUCUACGAAAUUGGGGCUUUCUUGAGCCACCGACAACAGUCUUGAAGGGUAAUUUGGGCCUGCAACUCAUGUCCUCAAUGGAUGAAAAGCCCCAUUUUGGAAACCUUCGCGAUUAUCAGUACCAUCACCAACAACAGACCCACCAACCUGAUCAUCCUACAGUUAUGGCGUCGACUAAUGGUUGUGCAUUUCAUCAUCAUCGGGUUUGUGGGCUGUCGGAGUCCCCCAUGCCCAUGGAGUACAUGAGGGAUGCAUGGGUUAAUCAUAAAGACUACAGAGAGAAGUAUAUCAAUGCUCUAUCUGCAAACCACCCCUAUCUUACAGGUUAUGGUUUUUUGCCUGAGACGUCUUCCGCUCAGUCUAUGCAGAUGUACCAGCAGCCAAACUUGGUGAAAGUUGAAACUGCGCCUCUGGUGGAAGAGGUUUGCCAAGAAAGGGAUACAGGCGGGCUUGCUAAGAAGAGGGGAGCUGAUAAAUCCCCAGUGUUGAAGUCCCCUAAGCCUAAGAAGGCAAAGAAAGCUACUACGGCUCCUAAAGAAGAUUCUACACCAUCUCUUCCACGGGCAAGAGCUCCCAGGAAAAGUGCAGAAGUCAACAUUAAUGGGAUUAAUAUGGAUAUUUCGAGAAUUCCCAUACCAAUCUGCUCAUGCACCGGAUCUUCUCAGCAGUGUUAUAGGUGGGGCUGUGGUGGGUGGCAGUCAGCUUGCUGUACCACAAAUUUGUCUUCGUAUCCGUUGCCUAUGAAUAUAAAACGACGUGGUUCAAGGAUAGCAGGUCGGAAGAUGAGUUUGGGAGCGUUUAUGAAGGUGCUAGAGAAAUUGGCUUCAGAAGGAUAUAACUUUUCUAAUCCGAUUGAUCUGAGGCCACACUGGGCAAAGCAUGGUACAAACAAGUUUGUCACUAUCAGAUAGAUUUAUGGUGGAUAUGCUUAGCAGUUCUCCCUAAAAUAGGCAUGAUGCAUUUCUGGUGUACAUAGUUGACUGGCUUGGACUGAGGCUUGUCACGUAGUUUCUAACCAGUGAAAUUCAAGCAUUGCAACCCUCUUUCAGAUUUUGUCCUGUGGGCACUUGGCUAAGGUUUUUCUUUCAGUUUACCUUUGUAGUUCAUGCAGAUAGCACACUUACGGUAGUGGCAGAUUAUGAAAGUCGCAGAGGAGGUACAUUUGUUAUGCAAUUGCGGGUUCUUAAUUUAUUUAGUAUUAUCUUUGAAUGGAAAUUUUUGCAUUCUUUUAUUUGUUAUUAUCCAGAUGUUGGCUUUCUAGCUGCUGCUUCAUGUUAGAUCUCUGUCUUCUUAUGAGGUCACCUUUUAUUUGAUCAACUAAAUGGCUAUGUACUGCACUACUCUGGUUGAAUGUUAUUAAACCUGGGUUCUGACCUGUCAUUUUAAGGAUUAUUAUCUUAAUUGGUUGAUGUUCUUUUCAAAUGGGAAAUUCCAUUUGACCUGAUGUAUCACUGGACUGAUAUUAUGGUUGUAGAAAUGCCAAAUGUUCUUAAGUUUGCAUCUCCGUAUGCAUGUGUCAAAUUCAUCCAGUGGAGUGACUUACAUUGUCAUCUCCACUGCCUGAGGUUAAUGGCCUUUUUAACAAGUUUAUAUUGAGCCCUAACAAGUAUGGCGAUGCAGUUUGACCGACUGAUAAAUUAGCAUGAUUCCUGUUCAUGUUUUGAGAUUUUGUAUUACUUGGUUUCUCUUGAGCAAGACAACGAAGAUUAGCAUAAGCCAUUAGGCCUUGUAUUAGGGUGUCCACAUACUGAGAAAUGGCCCAAGUUUUUAGCUUUGAGAUUAUUCCAAUUACUAGAUUGGAUUAAGUUCUAGUCAUGUUAGUAUGUUAUUUUAUGCCAAAUGUUCAUUAGGAAUUGUUUAGUCUCAUUAGAGAUUUAUAAGCACAUAGCAAAUGUAGAGUUCUUAUAAUAUUGGAGUAAGACAGUUCAAGUGAAGCAACAUGGACAUUGAGGAUCCAUAUAGAGGACCUCCAACUUACUUGGGAUGGAGGUGUAGUGUUGCAUAAGAAAGCAUCAAUCUUAACCUUUAAUGGAAUAAAGUUGAGAACUUUGAGCCCAUGUUUCCAGCAUCUGUUUUGUUCUUUCUGUAACCAUUCAUAUAGCCAGUUUAAACUACUUGCUUCUUUUAGAUUGAGGCUUAGGUGACUCUCCAUUGCCCGAAAUGUGCAUACUGAUUGCUGGGUAGACAUCUGAUUUGAAAAGUUCUACCUACUGAGAAGUGUUUCUAUACACAUCGAGAUGAUACACAAAAUAGAUCUUGUCCUUAACUCUCUUUGUUGUCAUGAGCCAUUGAGAUUUCAGCAUUUUCACUUGAACUCAUCAAUCUCUUUCUUACAUCUAAGUAGAUGUUUCUUCCCGGAUCAUUACUCGAUCCAUUCUUUCAUUCCCUGAACGACACAGAGAUCUCAUAAUGAGGUUAGUAGUUACUGAAUAAUCAAUCCAUUCGUGUAGUCCUGACAUUUUAGAGAAUUCCUCGUAUAUCUGGUAAGAGUUGUACCUUAGACGUGGUGCUGACUGCAUUGUUGUUUAUCACAAAAUCAUGCAGCAAACAGUCGUGAAGUCAACAUUUUAGAUGCAUUUCCAGCUGGAUCUAAUGCGAGUUCUGUUGGUUCAACUGUUGUGCGAUUCUAGAUCUUAAAUUCACUUCUAACAAUUAACAAUGAGCUAGUAAAGAUGCAUCUUCAGGUUAUCUCUGUACAGUGAACAAUUCUUGGAAUAGGAAAAGGUCAUAUUUUUAGGUGAACCCUCUAUUUGUAUGGGCCACUGGUCCUAUACUGUAAUUCUGGAUAAGAAGCUGGAAUGAGAAUUUGUCAUAAAACAUGGACAAUUGAAAUCUAAUCAAAGAACCACAUAUGUAUGUGGUGAGAAGUGAAACACAAGCUUUAAAGAGUCCGAUGGUGUAAUUGAUUAUUUUAGUACACCAUAGGAAUCAAAUGCCACUUGUCAUUCUAUUUUUGUCUGGUUUAUCCUUUCAAAUUAUCCAAUUAUAAUACUAUCAUUGAAUCAAAUAUCUAUUGUUUAAACUAAUAGUAAUAGAGGAUGUUGCAUAUAGUUAAUCCGUUCAAAUGGUCUCAAUAUUUUUAACACGUACGUUUGUAUAUGUCAAAAAUCCCCAAAAAGUUAAUUCCGAACCUCUAAUUUCAAAAGAGUACAAUGGAUUCAAUGAUAAUUAUCAUUAAGAAACUAAAAGUUGAAUCCGUUAUAUUCAAAUCUUGAAACCAUCUCUGUAUUAAACAGAAAUUUCUUUUUGUUUUUCUUGCACGUGAAAAAGGUCUGACACUAUUGAGUGAGUGACAAUGUUUCUGUAGUUUUCUGAUGUUUGGUGGGAGGGAUGGAUCGAAUAGUGUGACAAUAUAAAGAAGAAGAAAAAAGCAAAAGGUAUUUGAAUAAUAAACAAUUAAAAAGAGGUAGCGUGAAAGAAAGUGAAGUGUAUUUUAUUGUGCUUAAAAAAUGGAGACAUGAUAUGAAUUUUGAUUCUCCCACACAUGCAACUCAAUAGAAUUUUUUCGGCAAUCAUAACUUCUUCUUUUUUAUAAUAAUUUUUCUAUUAAACUAAUCACUUUUUUAAUCAAUCAUCAAAUUAAUGAAUAUCUUACUGUCUAUACUGACACAUCAAAAGCCUUUAAGCUCGUGUUUCUUAAGGCUUUCUUUCAAUUGCAAUUAAAAUUUGGAUGUAAUUAUAAGAAGGGGUAAAUAGUUUUUGUAAAUAAAUUGCUCUUGUACUGCUCCGGUUUUCGAGGGUGGUUUUUAUUUAUUUACAUGUACUUUUUGGUCAUCUAGUUUAUCAACAUAUCACAUGUAUGGUGUAUGUGUAUCAUAUAUAUAAUACUCCCUCCAUUUCGAAAUAAGUGAAUUGUUGGGGUAUUUAUUGGUGUUUCAAAAUAAGUGAAUCAUUGAAUUUUUUUUUCGAAUUUAUCCUUAUGAUUUGACAAUCAAUUAACUUUUGAAAAGGUAUUACAAGGUCAACCUUUUCUUUUUGGGGGUAAAAAUGGAAAGUUGUGUUAAAUUUAUAUUUUAAAUGCUUUUUCCUGUGCCAAAAUUCAAUAAUUCAUUUAUUAUGAAAUGCAGGAAAUAUAUAUAUAUAUAUUUAGUGAAAAUUAUGUACUACAUACACACUAUAUAUAUAUAUAUAUAUAUAUAUAUAUAUUUCAUAAGCUAGAUAAUUAAUCCAAGGACAUUGAGCUAUAAUUUUCUCUUAUAUGUUUUCGUAUUAGGUACUUGAUUUUAUAAAAAUCCAUGUGAAUUGGUAUAUAGAAUGCCACAUCAAGUUUGGAACCAUGAUUUUGGAGAAGUUCGGCCUAAGUGACUUUUGGUUAUGGGCACAUAUAGAAAAGUGUUUUUUCUUUCAAAAAAAACUUUAUUAUAUAAUUUUCCAUAGCAAGAGGCUAGAUAGUUAAUGAUUAUAUAUUGUACUCUAAUAUUUUCUUUAAAGGAAAAAGAAUUUCUAAUUCAUGCAUAAUAACUACCUCUCAGUGUCCAUUUUUACUUGUCCACUUUCUUAUCGACACAAGAAUUAAGAAAAAUAGAGAUAAUUUUACGUAUUACUUUUUGAAUAUAAUAAAUUUAAUGAUAUUGGAAAUGCAUUAGAUAAUGAAUCAUAUUUAAUGUUACGGUUAAAAUGGGUAAAAAUAAGUAAAUUUUUCAUUGGUUUUAUAAAGUAGACAAGUAUUAUUGGAUAUCCCAAAAUAGGAAAAUAGACAAGUAAAGAUUGACGACGGGAGUAUUUAAAAACACUUGGCACUUAUUAGAUGAUAGAGAAAUGUUCUAAGCAUAUUGUUGAAGUGCGUAGAAAGUAAUUAAGGAGGGAGCUUCCUACAAAAAUACAAGAUUCCGAUCCAUGGUGAUACUUUUUUAUUUUUUUCUCCUUUAACACUUUUAUUUGUAGCUACACAUAAUGAUGAUCACCAUAUUGGUGCACGCUGCUAGGAGCUAGUGGUGUUUUGAGUAAUUUGAAUUCGUCGAGUAUAUUGAAAUAUUCUCCAUUCUCACGGCUCGAAUACGAGAACUUUAAUUAGAGCGAAGGGAUUUCAACCAUCUAUUAUACCUGCCGACUAUAAGAUCGAGCGGCAUACAUGCAUGGUAUCUUCACAUGAUUUGAUAUCUCAAAUCUAUUGAUCCGACUAGCUUAAAUUUGUGCCAUGUAAUCCUGGCCCAUAGCGCUCUCCAAAAGUUCUUCAUUCUCAUGACUUGAACAAAAGACCUAGCUCCAAUCAAAAGAUGAUUAGAAGAGUAUGAGAAAAGGCAAAAAAAAAUAAAAAAUUAAUUAAUUGGAAGAUCAAAAGGGAAAAAGAACCCUAUAGAAAUUCAUUAUUGGAUAAGCUAGGGGGAAAGGUGGUCAACAUAAAGGCUUUAUAUUGUGAAGUGGGGGGUGGGGUGAAAUGUGAUAUAAGUAGCUGUAAUAUUCCCAAAUGAAGAUGGAAUUGUGUUGGCAAUCACCAUGCAUAUAUGUCUUACCUUUCAGCAUCAACAAAACCCCACACCUUCAAGGAUUUUUAUACUUCAAUGGCUAAACUCCAACUACAUUUAAUUGAUUAAAUAGAGAGAGAAUGACGAUAAUUCGUUUUUCUUGAAAUUUAAAAAAAGAAAAAUAAUUCAAAAAAUUGAUCCAUCCUUACAACAAAAAACGAAAAAGUAAAGAGUAGAAAGGGAAAGAAGUAGCCAAGAAAUUUAGAUCUUUAUUUGGUUCCAAGAAUUGACUUCCUUCAAGGUUUGUGCAUCCACUUUUCAUGUGUAAAAGGUUGAAAAAAGAAGAGGGGGAGCUAGGAAAAAAAAACAUAUUUCUAAUUUAAUUUCUUACGUCCCAAUUAAUUAAUAUGACAUACUUUUUUAGGUAUGAUAUGAAAAAUAUCACCUUAAUAGUCGUCGGUCAUAAAAAAUAUUUGCCAAAUGUAAAGCAAACAAUUAGAAUAUAUAUAUCGACUAAGAUUGUAAAUAUUUUUAGCCAAGUUCCUAAAUGUGAAACUUCCCUUUAAAAAAUAACAACUCAUAUAAGCUAAAUUAGUAACCUAAAAACAAAAUAGAAGUAACAUUUUACGCUACGUUAAAUUCCAAUAAUUGUAAUUGUAAAGAAUAUUCUUAUAUACAAUUAAUGAAUGUAAGUUCCACAUAGCAAUACUCAGAACAGUUUGGUGAUAUGAUAUUUUGUAGAGAUCAGUUGUGAGAAUGGGCCAGACAGAACAGUUGCAUAGCCAAAAGUUAUUUGCAAAAGACAAUUCUACUGUUGUUAACUCACUGUUCCAUUGAUGCUCUUCAUCAUGUUCCUUUUUCUUUUCUUUUUUUUACAUAGUUGUAAAAGUUACCCUUCAACUCAGUUUUGACCAAAAAGAAUCUUUCCAAGUUCCUUUUAAAAUAAAAAUAAAAAUAAAAUUACUCUCCCCCUGUUAAUUUAUUUAUCUUAUUUUACCUUUUUAAUGUGUUUCACAAAGAUUGAGUUCGUUAGUUUUAACUUUCCACGUGAAUGUCAAGAUUACAAGAUAAAGUACAACUUGGUAUAUUCUAUGUAUCUUUAAUUUAAGACUAUAAGAUUCAAAUGUCUUUUUUACUUUUCUUAAAUAUUGUGUCAUCAACAGCACUUGAGUCGAUGGUCCUUUAGAAAUGACAUCUCUACCUCUCCACGUGGUAGUGAUAAGGUUUGUGCACUCAAUCUUCUCCGGACCUCGCUCGUGAGGUUUCGCUGGAUAUGCUAUUGUUGUUUAAUACGAUGUAAGUGAAAAUCAGACAAACAAAUAGAAACAGGGAAUAUUAUCUAAACUCAAAUGAUUGUGCAGUGGGCAGGUCCUCCAUCAAUACCAGCCAUGAAUGGAGGGGUUUAAUUUGUAAUUUCAAAAAGAGUAGUUCCAAUUAUAUACUGUAGGGCAUAAAAAAAAAGAUAACUGACAAAAAUAAAAAGGCUUAUUAUGUGUACAUUAUUGUAUAUGAGUCUGCUGGUGGCACUGUUGGUGUGUAGUAAUAUACUGUGGCAAGCUGUGCAUGUAUUUAUGCAUGCAAAUUUACUGUUCCUCCAUAUAUUCAAACAGUGAUUUUGUGGAGUAUUUUGUCUUCUUUACUUUACUAAUUUUGUGGGUUUUUUUUUAUCUUUUUUUCUUAUCGUUGGUCCCAUUGUAUUGAUAUCUCUGCUAAGUUUGUGAAUAUUAUGAAUGGAUUAAUUAAGAACCCCCUCAAACAUCCUAGGAGAGAUUUUAAAAAAAAAAAAAUAAUAAGUUUGGUGAACAUACGGCAGUGGUAGAGCCACGUGCAAUUAAGGAGAUUCAAGUUUCCGUUAUUCUCUUAAGACUCCAUUUUAUGAAAAUAUACUGAUUAUGUUUGUAAGUUUUCAUCAUCCUAUAUAUUCAUUAUGAUUUUCCCAUGAAUUACUUUUGAUAUGUUUUUAAUAAGAUAUUCAGUAUUCACUUUGAAACUCGACUAAUUCAAAUUUUCUUUCCUUGAAUGAAUCUUACCCAACAUAAAGUCGAAUACUGAAUAAAAAAAGGGGGGAAAUUAUAAUGAGUAGAGGUAAAUAGGGUAAUUAAGUGUUUUUAAUAUUUUUAAAAAAUAAUAUAGUAAUAUUUAUCAAGUGGUGUACUUUCGGGAUUUUUUUGAAUUAUUCGUUAGAAUUUUUGACUCCGCCAAGAGGUAAUAAUAAUGUAUAUGAUCUACAUAAUAAAAAAAAUCGAGAUAUGCAAAAAGAUAAUCCUCAUACCUCUCUUAAAAAAAAAAAAUCCUCUCCCCCUCUACCGCCAACCCCAACCCCACUUGUAGUUCUCAGCAGAAAAGCAAAGUUUAUAAAGAGAAAUCAUUUUAAUUUUUCUGUCCAACCCAUUCUUCUUCAUUCAGAAAGAAAGAAGUUUAUGAAUAGAAAGCUGAUAGUCCAAAAACUAUCUAUCUAAAUCUAGACAUCAAAAAGCUUAUAUAUGAUACCUAAAGAAAUAAAAAAGAGCCUUUUUAUUAUUUUCUUCAUCUUCUUUUAGCUCUUUGUCUUCCCUACUCACACCUUCUCUCAUCUUAGAGUUUCAUAAAUUCAUUUACAAGAAAUCUACCUCUUGUCCUUUUACUCCCUUUCACUAAUUUUUAGUAUACAACAAAAACCUUUUUUUUUUUUCAAAAAAAAAAAGAGUAAUCAAGAAUCUAUUUAAGUCAUGUUGAAUUCUUCUUCAACUGACCCUCUCAUGACUUCUAUAGAGAAUGGAAACAAUUGUAAUAACACCAACAAGAGAAAAAGAAGGCCAGCUGGAACCCCAGGUACAAUUCUUGAAAAUUUAGUAAACCAUCUUUAACAAUUAUAUUUAUUUAUUUAAUUUAAUCUAAUAUGUUUGUAUCAUUUUAUUUUUUUUGUUUAUGUAAUUGAAUUUGCUAUAGAUCCAGAUGCAGAAGUGGUGUCCUUAUCACCAAAAACAUUAUUGGAAUCAGAUCGAUACAUAUGUGAGAUCUGUAAUCAAGGAUUUCAAAGGGAUCAAAAUUUACAAAUGCAUAGAAGAAGGCAUAAAGUACCAUGGAAAUUGCUAAAAAGAGAAACCCCUAUAGUGAAAAAAAGAGUAUUUGUUUGUCCAGAACCAACAUGUCUACAUCAUGACCCUUGUCAUGCUCUUGGUGAUCUUGUUGGUAUUAAAAAACACUUCAGAAGGAAACAUAGUAAUCACAAACAAUGGGUAUGUCAGAAAUGUAACAAAGGGUAUGCUGUUCAGUCUGAUUACAAGGCACAUCUCAAAACAUGUGGAACUCGCGGCCAUUCUUGUGAUUGCGGUCGCGUCUUCUCCAGGUCAGUUAAAAGAUAACUACAUGUAACCGUACAUUAAAAAAAAAAAAAAAGUUAAAGUUAUCUGCUAUAAUAAUAGAUUCGUGACUAUAUUGUUAAUUAGCUCUAAUACUUUGGUCCUAUUUUUGCGGAUUUUUGAGAUUUCAUAAUGAUUACCUGCAUAUUAUUCAUUGUAAUUAGGUCGUUCUGUGUGUGGAAUAAGAACAAUAAUCUCGUGAUAAAAUUUUAAAUUAACUUUAAUAAUAAAAUAAAAUAAUCUCAUGAAAUAUUUUUACUUAUUACAUCCCGUGUACCGCGUACCGAAGUAUCCAGAGAGUUUAAGCUUUGUGAAAAGGAGAAAAAACAAAGAUCGCAAAAUGAGAAAGAUGUUUCCUUCAGUGGAUUUUUAUUUUUAUACUAUGUGUGACUCCCAAAAGUAAGGUUUCAGUAGGCCAUUCUUGAUACUUUAAAAUUCUCCAUUUGUUAUAGUUAUACUUAGUAUCUCAAUCCUAUUUCUUUAUUAACUAAUAAGAUGUGUAUUGGGUUUCUUGCUCAUGAUUAUUUUAUUAAUCCCAUGUUUCUAUAAGGAAUGUCUUCAUUGACUUCUCUAGAAAAUAUUCUUCUUGUUAAUUUUAAAAGUAUGAUCUUUGAUCCUAUCAAUAUACUACUUCUUGGCUAUGUCCUUUUUUUUAAUUUUUAUGUUGGGGGUGGGGUAACCUUUUCAUUAAUUAGUUAAAUUAAAGAUGUAUUUGUUCUAGUUCUCUUAGUUUUGUUGACAUAUAUAUUGAUCCUCAAUAAGAAGUUUACACCUUUUUUUGAUCCUUAUAGAGAAAUGGUAUGCCCGAUUGAUAUGUUAGACGGUAUACUUUUAUUUACUUAAUUAUACCGAUUGAUCUCCAGACGACUUAAAAUUCAAUGAAGUGAUUUCCAUUUUGUGUUGGUUAAUUUAGGGUGGAGAGUUUCAUUGAGCACCAAGAUGCAUGUAGGUUUGGCAUGCUACGAUCAGAAUCACAAUCUUUACAAUUACCAACAUCAGCACCUUGCCUUUCUCGUACAGCUUCAAGUCCAAGCCCCUCAAGUGAUCACACUAAUAAUCUCAUCAAUACUACAGUACUCCCAUGGCCUCAUUUUCUUAUGAAUACUACUCCAAAUUCCAUAAUAAAGAAACACAAUUUAGAGCUCCAACUCUUGACUACUACAACUACAACAACAUCUCCAUCUAGCCCCCUUGAUGUCUCCAUAUCGUCCAAAUCGCGCGAUGAUCACUCCACUCAUAAUAAUAAUCUUCAACUAUCCAUCGGUUCAUCAGAUAUUCUUAAUGACUCGGAGAAUAAUAAUAAUGACACGCACAGAUCGAGAAAUGGUCCAGAUGAAUUAUCGAGGGGGCGGUUAAGGCAGGCAGUGGCCGAAAAGGCGUAUGCGGAGGAGGCUAGAAAGGAAGCAAAGAGAGAAAUUGAAUUAGCUGAGCAAGAAUUGGCUAAUGCAAGGAGAAUUAGGAAACAAGCACAAGUGGAAUUAGAAAAAGCACAAGCAUUGAAGGAAGAAGCAAUAAGGCAAAUUAAUUUUACUCUUUCACAAAUCACAUGUCAUGUUUGCAAACAACAAUUCCAAGCUAAAAGGAUAGUCACAACAACAAGCAUAGUUCCCAAGUCUUAUCAAGUUGAGAGGAGGAAUAUUGAUCAUGACCAAAGUAGUCACUUCAAGUAUAGUUGCCCAACAUGAUUAGUACUUCUCUAGUUGUACUAUAUUGUAUUUCUUUUUUUUUCCUUUCAUUUUUUUUGGGUCCUUUAGUGUAUUAAUUAAUGAAUAUAUAAGUCUAGUGUGGAUGCUACUACUAUGAUGAGUUUAGAUACUUGGAUGAACAAGGAUUGGACAAUGUUCAAAAAGAGUUACGUUGGUGUUAUUUUUUUCUUUAUCUAGUUCAUGCAUGGUGAGACGGUGAGUGUCAUAAUGGUGUUUUCAGUGACCUAAUAAAGUGAAAGUGAAUACUAUAAUAUUAUCUCUUAUGCUAUGAAAAUUUGCAGUGGUUCUUGAUUUUAUUACUCCGUCUAUCCAAUUUAUGUGAUAUCCAAUCUAUGUUCUUUAAUUUUGAGUGUCUACAAAGUAGACACUAAACUUAUGUAAUAUUGAAUAAGCAGACGCGUGUAUUUUAUAUGGCAUCCUAUGAGACAAUUCGCUUGAGAUAAACUCAGAACUAAUUUGUACACAUUGAUCAUUGAUACUGUCUGAUCAUUGAUGCCGCUGUAAGCUUGUACUAACUAUUUCAUUGAGUUGAGUGAGCUGUGUGUCCUCUUUUACUUUAAAUGAAUAAAUUAAAAGGAAGAGGAACAGCUAGAAAACAUUGAAUUAAAUAUAUUAUCUCAGCUUUUUGGUAGUGUUAGAUUUUGUGUUUGGACUAUUUGAAGAUCUUUGUUGGCUAAGGUGGUCAGAAUUAAGAUGGUGAUGAACCAGCCCUGUCCUGUCCUCUGCCAAUAAUAAAGAAGGGAGUGUAGUAUACUGCCAUAAUAAUAAUAAUAAUAAUAAUAAUAAUAAUAAUAAUAAUUGCAUAAAUUUACAGUACUCAAGUAAGUGGUAUAUAUGUUUUCUGACUAGUCAAUGAUGCAUGUGAGAUAAGAAAACAAUAUGAGGCUACAAUUUAAAUUUCCUCAAUAAGUAAAAUUAUUACUUAGGUUAUAGUAUCUUCUUAUCUACCUACUAAAUUUGUUAUUAAAGUCACAGCUCCUUUAGUUAUCAGGGUUAUGAUGAUGAAAUAUUCAUAUAGCAGAUAAUAAAUUUCUAAGAAAGAAAAAUUACAGUUUCAUCCAAAUUCAUAUGUGAUACUAUAGCUUCAGGUAGGGUGUGAAAAAAUUGAACCGACCGAUAAACCGAACCGAUAAAAAUGCUAUUGGGUUAUUGGUAUUGGGUUAUUGGGUUAACGAUUUCUUAUUGGUUUUAUAAAAAUAUUUAUUGGGUAAACGGUUCGAUUUCGGUUUUAGCUUAUUGGGUUAUCGGUUAAACCGAUAACCCAAUAAGAAUACACUACGUUACUGUUUUCCCCUAUUUAUGUAAUAUAUAUAUAUAUGUGUGUGUGUGUGUUAUAUACACUACUUAUUCACAGUUCUGUGAUUCACAAAGUAUUAACCUAUUCAGGGCAACAAAAACACAAUAUAAAGCACAAGCAUUAUCGUAUUGGAAAGCUUGAUAAGCAUUUAGUAGCUUCCAACAAUUAGGAUUCAAUUUUUUCCGAACUAAUAUUCAAUUCAAGUCUGAACAUUCUUGUAAACUAAAAUGCAUUGCGUAGGAUUUUGACGGUAACUAAGAUUUUAUUUUUUUAUGUUAGUUGUUACUAUUUCUAUUUUAUGAGUAUUUUCAUAUUGGUUAAACCGAAAAUCGAAUCGUUAAUGAUCAAAAAUAGAUAAAAAAAUAUCUUAUUGGUUGGUUAUUGGUUUUACAUAUUUAAAAAGCAAAAAUCGAUAAACCGAACCAAUAACACAUAAAAUCGAACCGAACCGACCGAUGCACACCCCUAGCUUCAUGCGUGUUGAUGGGAGAUAAUAGAUAAAGUGAAAAAUAGUUUGGGCUAUCGUGACUUUCUUACUUACUCCUCUCAAAUACUUCUUCGACCCACUUCUAUCUCUCUUUAUAGUUCAUACCCACCAUAGCCAACUUCUUGCGCCUCCUCAAUGCAGUGGCAGACGCAGGAUUUAAGGAGUGUGGGUGCUAUUAGGAUUUUUGCCCUGAUUUUCUUAUUAUAUUUAAGUUUUACUUUUUCUUGGAAGGAAAAUAAAAGUUACUAUAAUUACUUUUACUUUUCUUGAAAGAAAAAAUAUAAUUUUUUUCCAUAUUCGGCUAACCUCUUUCUUGGUUUUGGAACUCUAUAAAUAGAACACCCCCUUCUCAUACCAUAGCACAAUAACAUCCACAAUAUAGUCGUUUAAAGAGUCUUGUUUAGGGGGAGAUUUUCUCUCUCAUUAGUUUUAUGCUUUUUAAUAUUAUUUUUAAUAUUAGAUUUUAUAUGUAGGCCAAUUGGUCAAAUCACAUAAUAAUAUUAUGUUUUUAGUAUAUUUUUCUAUGUCAUCUGAGUUAUUGUCUUAAUGGUUUGCAACUAAUAGCUUCCGAAUGACACACUCUUAAUUUCGAACCCAACAAGUGGUAUCAAAGCCCACGGUUCAAUAAAUCGAUGGUCCAAUUGUUGAACAAAGUUGCAAUCAAUUUGAUGAUAAUGAAGAUAUGUCCAAAAGCUACAUGUGGAGAUAAUUGUUAAUCAUAUUUUCAACAAUCCUGCUGUCACAUAUUUGAAAAUAAAGCUCACUUUUAACCCUGCAAAAGGGCUCCAAUAUUUUUAACCUGAAAGAGCUCAUAUACUUUUAACCCAAAAACUCAAUUUUUAAAGCAUGUUGAUAUAUGAAGAACGAAGAUCAUGCACAAGAAGAAGGUGGAUCAAGUGACGAAAAUCAAGCCAAAAAGGGAAGAUUUGUUAGGGUUUUUGUCCUGAUUUUCUUACUAUAUUUAAGUUUUACUUUUUCUUAGAAGAAAAAUAAAAGUUACCAUGAUUACUUUUACGAGGAAAGAUUUUGGAACUCUAUAAAUAAAACACCCUUCUCAUACUAUAACACAAUAGCAUCCACAAUGUAGUCGUUUAAAGAGUCUCGUUUAGGGGAGAUUUUCUCUCUCAUUAGUUUUAUGCUUUUUAAUAUUAUUUUUAAUAAUAAUAUUUGAAAAGGGGAUAUUAUUAACUUUUUGUUUAGUGGAUGCUUUUAUAUAAUUUAUACUUAUUUUUGUAUAUUUUUAAUGUAAUUAUAUCUACUCUGUAUCGAGUUUAGUGAAUGUCGGAGCACCCAAAAACUAUGCAUAGGUCCGCCCCUGCAUCAGUGGGACAUAUAUAUGUCAUCUCAGCUUUUCAUGUUACGUUCUAACCAUCACACUAUAUUCUUGCCUUCCUUAUUUUGUCCACCCCGAAAGUCACUCGCCUUGUCUAUGAUAUCUACGUUUGUAAUCCUAUCUCUCCUUAAAUAUUCAUACAUUUAUCUCAAUAUUUUUAUUUCCGCUCUUUCAUCUUUUGGACGUGCAACUUCUUGAUUAGACAACAUUUUCCCUCAUACAAUAUAGUCAAUAAUCUAACGACCUUUUUAUAAAACUUACCACUUUUCAGGUUUGGUGGUACCUUCUUAUCACACAAAAUAUCGAACUCGAGCCUUCAUUUCAUUCACCUAGCUCCAAUACCGUGUGUAACAUUCUCGUUAAUCUCUCCAUUUUCUUGAAUUAAUUGACCCCAUUUUAAACAACAUACAUUUUCUUACAUUUAAAAAAUCUUUAAUUUCAAAAUUUAUAUUUUAUCCUUAAUGACCUGGUCAUACAUAAUGGCAACAAUAAAUUAUGGAACAUUGCACCAUAAAUUGGAUUAUUUCCCUUUUAAAAAUUUCAUACCAGUUAAGUAUCACCAUCUAAAAAUGUACUAAAAUAUUGAAUAUACUCCACUAAAUAAUUGCAAAAUUUUUAACUAGUGGUCCUUGUUUAACCCUUUGCACUGCUAGGUUGCAGACAAAAGGUGAUAAAUGUAAGGGUAGGAAGAAGAGCUAUAUAGCAUGUUUUUCAGUGCCCAAAGGUUAUAAUGGUUGAUGACAGAAAGGUCCCUCUCAAGUCAUAAUAAUUAGACAUAAACAAACUCAAUUCAUCACUGCCCCUUCUUUCCUUGUUUGUAAUUUCUCUCUAUCAUCAGAAUCAGUAGCUAAAUAUAUAUACAGUGGCAGCAGUGAGAUCAGUAUACAGUAAGUACAGUAUUCCUGUUAGAAAGAGACUAUAGCAUCUUUCCUCCACAACUACUCUUACUUCUAUGGAUGAAAAACCCAUUCAAAUCUAACUCCCUCUCUCAUCUUUCUUACACCAAAAUGGCCCUGUAUGUCACAAAGAUUUCCAUCCACAUAAUAAUUUGACUCCAUUAAUCUUGUAGUUAAAUUAGUUUAAUUUCCCAAAUAGCAGUUACCUUCAUUAAAACCAAUAACUUGUAUACCUCUUUGGACUUUUUACAUCAUCAAUGUCAUUAGACCUACUGGCGGUCACGGGUUCAAGCAUUGGAAAUAGUCUCUGACAGAAAUGCAAGGUAAUACACUGUUAUCGUGGGACCCUUCUCCGAACCUUGCGCAUAACAAGAGUUUUAGCCCUUUUAAUGUCAUUAGACCUAUUGUAGCAAAUUAAUUAUCAUUUUAUCAGGUUAUCAGAUACUUAUAUAAGAUAUAUCUAAUGUUGUAAAUGUUUCUUAGACAAUAGGUGCAUAAACUUAUAUUUUACACCUGGCAUGGCAUGUUGUUGUUUGUUGAAGGUGCAUAAACUUACAUACAAGUCAGAUCAACUUCUUUUCUUAAGGAAGGUAUAUGCAUUAUUUUUCUUAAGGAGUAUAUGAUUAAUUACUUAUUUAAAGAUAUAUUUAAUUCACUGUAUACAUACCUGUCACCUGAAAUGUAAGAAAGGUGGAAUUUUAAAUUUCUAUCUCAUAAAUAAAAAUAUCCAUAUUUUACAUUAGUUUAACAAUCAGCAAAUAUAUAUGACCCAUGCAUAAAUACUCCUAGAUCAUGAAAUCUUCUGAUUUUAACAAUUUAAAGAAAGAUGUCAUUUAAUUAACUUGAUAAUUCUGAGCCCAAAUAGUUGGAAGACAAAAAAUGUUGAAUUACAACUAAUUGAACUUUUCCAAAGGCAAAAAGGAGAGUUUUACUGGCAAUAAAGCAAAAAAAGUUUACACUUUACAACAUACACGGUGUGAUUGUAUAAGUAACAUUUGAAAAAAGAUAAUGUACAUAAAUCGUAUCGCUAUAUUAUAAGAGUAAAAGGGAAUGUUUUCAAUAGAACUCGAAUAAAAAAAAAAUAUUUUAAAAAAAUAUUUUUGACAAAUUCUAGGACGUGUCAACUCGUAGACAUGACAGUUUGAAUCUUUGCCUAGCUACUUUCCAUGCAUCCAUUACGUAUUUACAUGUAUAUGCAGGAUAAAUAAUAGAUGUGGUUAAAUUGAUUUGUCCUGUAUUUAAUAUUAUUGUCUUAUUAGACUUAUUAUUAUUAUUAUUAUUAUUAUUAUGCAUUUGAGCUACCUAAUUACUGAUAUUGCAAUUAAUUAUGGGUCGAUCAUAAUGCAAAAAUGUAAUAAUUGUCUCUGAAAAGACCCUAAUAUGUCUGGUUAAAAAUCUUGUCCAGAAUGUUGACUAGAAGCUUAGAUAUGAAUGUUGCAAACUUGUACGAUUUCCAAUUUUAAAUAUUAGUCGUUUUACGUGGUCCCUCCGACCCAAUUUAUGUGACAGAGUUAAAAUUUUGAUCGUGAAGUCAGCAACGUUUAAGUUUUUUGAAGUAUAAAUUAUAUAUUUAAAAACUAAAUAAAAAUUACUAUAAAUCAAAUCACAGUAAUUUAAAAAUUAAAAUAAUUAAAAAACAUAAAAUAACUUUGAUCAAAGGGAUUCUCUCAAAAUUUUAACUGUGCCAAAUAAAUUGAUUGAUUGAUUAAAAAAAUGCCAAAAACAUUAGAAGAUGUAAAGAAUGUUGAUUGAUUAAUAGAAAUGAAGUCUAAAGGGUCCUACAAGUUUCAGGGAAAGCAUAAUUUCCACUUGUUUCAGAAAUGGUGACCCCAUAUUUGUCUCUGUCUUAAUAAUACCAUUGUCACCCAAAUAAAUCAGCUGCUGAUAAAUUUGGUUAUAGAUGGAGUAAUUUGUGCUAGCUGUUUCAUCAGGUAAGGGUAAAGAGGAAAAAAAAAUUAGGUCAUUUACAUGUUGGUAAAUACUUAUGUUAAUGUAACAAUAAAUUUAGCAGUAUCUUCUGAUAACAUAUUAAUUACGGAAAAUACUUAUGUUAAUGUAACAAUAAAUUUAGCAGUAUCUUCUGAUAACAUAUUAAUUACGGAAAAGGGACAAAUAUAUUCCUGAACUAUGAUAAAUGGUACGUAUGUAUCAUUCGUCAUACUUUGGAUCUACAUAUGUCCUUACCGUUAAUGAAAUGAUACAUAUAUGCCCCUCACACUAACUAUAGGCAUAUGUGUAUUCCAAAGCAUGACUGAGAGUAUAUACGUACCAUUUAUCAUAGUCCGCGACAUAUUUAUCCCUUUUUCGUUUUAACUUUUUUAUUUUGAACAAUUAUUCCACAUCCACUACCCAACCAAAUAAAUCCACCGAACCCGAUUUCAAGUCAACUCGAUCCGACCUCUAUUUUUUGUUCCAAGCUCAACACUCCCUUUGUUUUUCUCUUAAAUGUGAACUUCAAUUAAAUUUCAGUGAUUGGUCGCUACUACUAGUUGGUGUUUACUAGUUGGAGAGAGUGGAGAUUAGGCUGAACGUGACCGGAGCUAGGCGUGCGACGAUGGUUCGCCGAUGGGGUGUUUUUGGUUCGAUGGAGACGGUGGCUAUGUGGUGUUGACCGAUGGUGGGUAGUGUUUUUCCAACAAAAUUUGUCUGAAAAUUGAAACGUGAGCGGUNNNNNNNNNNNNNCGGUUCAGUUUAGUUGGUGUUGGUUUUGGGUAUUAUGGGUUAAUGAUUUUUUAUUUUUUUUUUGUAAUUGAUUGUGUUACAAUAUUGUCUGUGUAUAUCAUUAUAGGGUGAGAAAAACACGUCUGUUGGAUAGGCGUCUCUUGGAUUUUAAUUGAGAUAAGUUCGGAUAGUGGGUUUAUCGAGUCGGACAGUGGAUUUGGGUUAAUUAUUUGAGAUAAAAAAAAAUUAAAACGAAAAAGGGGUAAAUGUAUCCCCAAACUAUGAUAAAUGGUACUUAUAUACCCUCCAUCAUACUUUGAGUACAUAUAUGCCCCUACCGUUAGUGUGAGGGGUAUAUACGUACCAUUUCAUUAACGGUAAGGACAUAGGUGUAUGCGAAGUAUGACGGAUGACAUAUACAUAUCAUUUAACAUAGUUCGAGGAUAUAUUUUCCCCUUCAUAUUAUUAAUUAUAUGAUGUUCGCCAUGAUUAAUGGUAAUUGCAAUUUUGAUCUUGAAUAAUGUUUUGGUAUUUGACCUGUUAUUAGUAAUUGUAAUUUUGAUAAACUCUCUUGGGUCAACUAAUUAUUGUAACUUCUAGCACUCUCAGAUAAGAGAUUAGAAGCUUAGAACUAUAUAGGUGAGAGCUAAGGCCUCGAUGUAUAUGGCGGCCUAGUAGGAGAAGUGCAUGAAUACCCGCUAGUAGUGCAUCGUCAAGAAAGGGUAAUGAGUUAUUGAGUAGGGGCGUGCAAAUAUCAAUUUAAUCGAUAAAUCGAACCGAUAAACUAAGAAUGUUAUUGGUUUCACGGCAUCAAGUUAUUGGGUUAUACUUAUAUUACCGGUUUUUAAACGGUUUUGUAAAACUUUUUAUCGAGAUAUUGGUUCGAUCCCUUUCCGAUUUCAAGGUUUUUGUUAAUGGUUAAACCAAUAAUCCAAUAAGAUUAUAUUAAAAUUAUAUUUGAUCCUUAAUUAUAUAAUAGUGUCUUGAGAUUUUAAAUACAUACCCUGUUAUUUUUUGCAUUUUAUAGUUGUUGUCUUAGUGUUGAUAAUUGUGUUGACUUUAUGCAUGAAAAUCUUGUAGAAUAAACAAAAAUAAGAGAAAAUAAAAAACAUUAGAGGAGUUUUUUAAAUCUGUUAAACCGAAAAUCGAACCAUUAAGGACCAAAAAAAGAUUAACCAAAAAUUGAUAAUGAGUUUCUUAUUUGUUUGGUUAUUGAUUUAGCACGCGUAUUUACAAAUCAAAAAUCAAUAAACCAAAUCGAUAAUACACUAAGCCAUACCAAUUGAUAUACGCACCCCAUUGUUGAGCUUGCACCACAUGGAUCGGAUGGGCUCAUCUGGUAAAAAAAUCAUUUAUUAAAGAUAACAUACCUCUAUUUAUUUAAUUAUAUCUUUAGAAUUAUAUCCUGCAAAACAUCUUCACGCUAUUUACCUUUAAAUUAAUAAAAAAAAGAAGAGAAAAAACUGUAAUUUCUUUCUAUUUACAUUCUACAAUAUUAAAAGGCUGGAAUUUUGGCCAUAUACAGUCUAAAAAGUUGUGACACCUUACCUUAACAGGACAUAUCCAUCUCAGAAGUGCACUUGCAUUAAUCAAUUAAAAGACAAUUGUAGGGAUAAGCUAGUGAUUUGAUGGAAUUGUCUAUAUUGCCACCUUCAAAUAAUAUGUGGUAUCCUUUUCUUUGCCAAUAUUAAUUAUCCACACUGUUUUCAUUUUACAAAAUCAAAUAGAAAAGAACAAAAAUUAGGCAACACAACGGCCACCUUCCUAAUUCGUUUUCUAUGAACAAUGCAAAUAGACAUAGCUUUGGAUUAUUCCAGUGUCACCAAAUCUAGACAACAUAAUAAAAGAAUCCCCCGCUAGUGAAAUCUUGGUUUUUUCUAGCUAAACUAAGCGAUGAUAUGAUGACAUUCAUCUGUUGUACUGACAGUGACAAAUUCAGAAUUUAGAAUUAAUAUUUUUCCUUCAUUUUACAUUAUAUUUUCUUUAUGAAUUGAUGAAUAUGCAAAUUAUAUGAAGAACUUGGGAGGACAAAGACUUUUUCCUCAUUUUGAGGUGCGGUGCUCUGGCAUCCAUUAAAUCCGAUGCAGAAUAAGUAUAAUUAUAUAAAAAAUAUAUAAAAAUCGAUAUAAGAUGGAAAAAACACCCACAUGAAACCAAAAAGAUAGCUGAGUGCUUUGAUUUCCAGCAGGACGGAACCUUAAAACUUUGCGUGUUAAUAUAUGUAUUUGAACCUUCCGAUCACCUACGAUCUGCCACUCCUCAUUUUCCGAUGUAUUUACUUAUCGAUUUAUUUUUAGAGUGAUUAUUUAAAUUUAGAUUUGCAACGUGUAGGACUGAUAAAGGAAAAACACUCCAUCUUAGGAAUUUCUCCAUUUUCAAGAUUCCUACCUAAAUGUUCAAACCUCUAAUAAAAAAUAAUGAGAUCUCAUCCAUUCCGCUACAGCGCUCAUGGUUAUUAAAAUUUCAGGGUGCAGUGGAUGUCUAGUUAACCUCUUUUAUUGUGAAUUAAGCAGUUUUCAAAAAUAAAUAAAAUAAAAUAAAAAUUAAAACAAACAAACAAAAAAAUCAGUGACCAUACGUGAAGUUCAUUAUUCUAUUGACAGUUUAUAAGUGGGUCGUUUUUGUUGGGUGAUGCCUCAUACAAUUUUUCCAAUUAUUUCAGUCAUUAUUAAUAAAAAACAAAUGCAAAACUGGUACGUAGAAAAUUCCAAAAAUAUAUUCUGUUUCCCUUGGAUAAUAAAGGACCAGCUGACAGCGGUAUAUAUGAGCAUUGAGAUUUGAGACAUAUAUAUUUUCGUAGAACCUAGAAAUUAGCUUAAUUAUAAGUUUGUAAAUAUAUACUCCAACUUCCACGCCUACCAAGAGAUUAGUGAGAAUGUCUUGUAAUGGAUAAGGAUAAAAACUUACACGCACAGGGUGUAUACAUUAAAUUAAUGUUCUCUAUCAUGGUUAUGUAAUUAAAUUAAGUAAAAUGUAUAUUGAUUAAUCAUGGUUAAGUAACAUGAACUUUAAAUUCAAACACAUGAUAUGCAUGUAUUGGCUUGGUGUAUACACAGGGUGCAUGUAAGUUUUACGUGUCCUAAUAUUUAGUCAAUAAUACUUGAGUAAAGCAUCUAGUAAUCUUGAAUUAUGACCAAAUUUUUAGUGACACGCUUCAAUUUCACGGGGGUCCUAUUACCCGCAAACUAAAUUUUAGUGAAUUUUUGUCGUCAACCUUAUCUCAUAAUACUUUAAUCUUUUGAUAAUCGUAUACCAAGCGAAUCUCAUUCCGAGGGUUCAAUUCUGUAUCUUGUAAUUCCUUUGCCUUACCCCAUUCUUUUUUUUUUUUUUUAAAAGAAUCUUUUCCCGAUGCAAAUUCCGACACAGAUCAAAUCUUUAUAGAGAAUUUAUUUUAAAAAAAUACAUACGGAAUAACUUCUAUGUAUAUUAGAAAUAAAUCAACGUCCAUAUACUGUAGAAUUAAAAUUAAUGGAUACAUGAUGAAAGGAAGGAAAAUAUGAGAUAUAGGACAAAUUCAAAUUGUACUAUAUAUAGGAGCUUAGUUAUUAAUUAAUUAAGAUACUGAAAAUGAUGAUGAUUACAAGUGUUUGUUCUUUUUCUCACUACACCUAGCGUAUAAUUGCACGUUUUGGUUCUUUUCUAAAGGAGCUUUCUGAUGGAUUUUUAAUUUAUUUUAAGGCUUUGACUAAUAUUAAGAUUUUCCCAAAAGAAACUUCUCUUUUUGGAUUUAAAGGUAAGUCACCCCACUCACAUGGUCUGUUUCUUGAUAAAUCAUCUCCUUCUUAAAGGUGCUACAAAUUAAUAAAGAAAUACAAGGCCAGAAAAAAAAAAUAGAUCAUAAAAGAUUCCUUCACUAAACUGGACCCUAUAUCCCUUCAUGCAUUCAUGAUUAGGAUUUGUUCACUUUUAUAACUUUUUUUCAUUAUUAAAUCUUUUUUUUUUUUUUUUGGUAAAUGGUUUUAACUGUAUUGGGUAAAUCUGACUUUGGUCAUUGUGUAACCCAGCACAUUUGAUUAACACUCAAUUAUUUUAUGUGUGUUUUGAUAUCUUUAAGUAGAAAAUAUUUUAUUUUGAUAUUAGUUUUAAAAGUACAUUACCCUUAGAUAUGGAAUAAUAAUACGCGUUUAAUGUAGCACAUACAUGCGUGAUUAAAUGGCGAAACGGUUAAUAUUUUUAGGAAACUUGUGGUUAUUAACAAACAAAUGGAUCAAAAGUGCACAUCAUCUCAAGUAACUGAAAGUUAAAUGUGCUUAGUCGAAUAUUUUAAGGACUAAAUUAGAAUUUACCGAUUAAACUAGGGACUAAGAAUGCUUGUAUUAACCUAUAACAUUAUUUGUAUAUUUUAAUUCGCGGGGUUAUUGUGGCAAAUUAUUACUAGGUGAUUUUAACCGAAAGUCACUGGUUAGAAUUGUAAAUGACCUAAAUUAUAUCUAGGCAAAAAUUAAAUGUAGUUUGUGUACAAAUAGAUCCUUGUGUUUGAUCCUUCCUUGAAUCUCACAUGUAGUGAGAGCGAGAGCUUAAUGCACCAAGCUGACCUCACAUAUAGCGAGAGCGGGAGAUGAAUGCAUCAAGCUGAUGACCUCACGUAUAGCGAAAGCGAGAGCUUAAUGCACCAAGUUGAACUUGAAAAAGAAAGGAAAAGGAAGACAGCCACCCCUUUACCCCAUUCCCUGCCUUUAGAUGGAUCCUUCCUCACAAAGCAUAUGUCAAUUCAAAUUAAUUAAAAAGCUGCCUUUUGAGUUGUUAAAAUAACAUAGGUAUAUAUACACUGCACUCUUUUUGUUAUCUUUAUUCUUUUUCCUGUGUUUGUGACAUGUUACCACUUAUGAAAUCCUUUUUUAAUUUCACUUUUUGUUUGUUCUUUAGUUCUAAUAUGGAGAGAGAGACACACAAACGUCUAAAUUGUAAAGCCUUAGUAAACUAAUCUUGGUGCAAAAGAUGAUGGCUAUCCGAAUAACUUAAUUAGAAACUCAUAUUUAAAUCCUAACUAUAACAAUGCAAUAUGAACCAUAUAUUAAUUACCGUUAAAUUGAAUGUGCUUUUUAGUCAUUUGACUUAGGUAUAUAUAUGAUCCGCUACCAUAUCAUCGAUUUAGCGUGUUAACACUAUACUGGUUCAACCUAAUUGAUGUAUAGCUUUGUUUCAAAUUUCAUGUACGAAUCGCCAUAAAGAAAUUUGUAAAAAAAAUAUGAAUUAAUGUCAAACUUGAAUUUCGAACUCAAUUAUUGACAUUUGAGUUUGUUAUCCGACCUAAAAUUUUGAAUUCACAUUCGACUGCUAUGACUUAGGUUGAUGGAGGCACAAUGAGAAUAGAAAGUCCCCCUAUUAAAAAAAAAGGUUAACUCAUUUCUACUAAAAAGAUAAAAAGAAAAGGUAUUUUAAAAAAAAAAAAAAAAAGUAAAAGCAUAUCAGCAGCCCAUGCUCCCUGUCCUACUAGUUAGUAAUUGUACUUCAACUUAAUUUUAGCUUUGAUGUCUCCCUAGAAGAAUAAAGUUAUCAUUGAGCUAGAUUUUAGGGUAUGAUUGAGGUUUACGUGGAUUCGAUAAUUUUUGUUCAUAUUUUGUAUAUAUAUUUUUAAACAAUUCACUAAAUUAAAUAUCUAUAAAUAAUUUACUUAUCACUGUGAUAUCAACUUGAAAUUGAUACAAGAACUCAUAAACUUCAAAUCUCGAAGUUAAUUGUCUAAAUCAAUUAUUGCCUAUUAGCUCUCUGAGAAUUAAGAAGUGUUUUAGGCAUAGUAGUGACAAUGUGAAACUAAACAUAACUAAUUGAUCAAGUUAGGAAUUGACAAAAAGAAAUUAGUAGUAGUUAGCAAUUGCUUGCAAGUGACAAACUCCACCUAAGUGACCUGACUGAAACUGGACUUAAUAUGUCAUUUUCUUAUUAGUUGCAUUAUCUCCAUUAAGACACUAAAGUUUGUCUGCGUAUACCUCAAGUUGUUUACCCCAUUUCUUCUAUAAUUGACUGCUAACAAAUGGAUCCCUAAAUAUGUUGAGAAAAUUAUGGUCUAAUUAGAUUAAUCAUAAUUUUCUAGUGGAUAUAUAUAUAUGUGGUAGGAUUCUUUUGUUUCCUUUCCUUUUUUUUUAAGUUUUUCCAUUUAUAGAGGCGGAUUCACGACUUUAAAGUGACGCGGGUGCUAUUCUUUGAUGUAUACACCUUCACCAACUAUUUAUGAGUUUGAAUAGGAAUAUGUAGUUGAUUUGGUUUGGUUCGAUUGUUGAUGUAUAUUUUGAGUUAAUUCUAUUCAAUUCAAUAUGUUUCUGAUCCGCAAGAUAGAACUGUAGUUGUGUAAACACAUCUAUUAUUUAUUAUUUUUGCUAUAAACAUGAAAAUUCUAAGUUUUAUAAGAGGAAUAAUUAAGAUUUUACAAUGAGGAUAUAAUUUGCCUCGACCCCUACCAUGUAAUAUAAAUAUGUCAAUUCAUCUGACCACUAUAUUAUUUGAUAGGAACUAAAGCUGCGCAGCUAGAGAAGGUGGGGAGCCCUUAGCUUGAAUAAUAAUUUGAUGCAUUACUGCAAAAACCAAAUUAGUGUGUGUUCCCCUCAAUUUUAAGUAACCUCAACAUUAAACAUAUUGAUAUGACAUGUGAAUGCAAUAUUGUCACAAAUUAUAUUACAAGUUAUAUUUCAUCCAGACUUUUGUUAGUACGUGCUUGCAAACUGGUCCGAAAAUUUUUAGUUGAAUCUUUCAAAAAUUAAUUGUGCAAAUAGGAUAAAAUAAGGUGAAAACUCCUCGAGAUAUAGCCUAUAGGAGUUUCAAAGUAAUGGUAAAGGUGGCUUAAAUUUGCUCUAAAUUGUACUUUUAGAAUUUUUGUUGGCAUUCUGGCUUUUUUUUUAAAAAAAAAAAAUCCUCUUAUUAAAAUUCUUAACUCCGCCAUUAUCUCCAAUUCCAAGUAAAUAGAGUGGUCCAUAAUACAGGUCCCACUAAUUUAUCAUAUUUGGCUGAAGAAGCAUUGAACGGAUUCGAGUUUUUACCUUCUUGGAGCUCCAUAAAUCAAGAUCUGCUUUUAUUAUACGGAAAAGGCUCAAAAAUUCCCCUGAACUAUCUGAAAUGGGUCAAAAAUACCCCUCCGUUAAAUAUUUGGCUAAAAAAUACCCCUCCCUCUAACGAAAUUCGAAAAAGGAUUAAAAAUACUCCUGAACUAUCUGAAAUGGGUCAAAAAUACCCCUCUGUUAAAUAUUUGCUCAAAAAUACUCCCCUUAACGAAAGUAAAUUAUUUCGAUUGAAUUAGACCCUAACUUUAACUUUUUAGGGGGUUUGGGCCACAGGUGACAAAAGAGUUUUAAAAUGAGAUGUAGGUGACACAAGUCUUAAUAAUUGAGUAGAGGUGACAAUUACUUAAUUAUGGUUUAAGAAAGUUUUGGAAAUUUUAAAAUAACCCACAAGUUUUUAAAUUUACACUUUAAUCCAAAUGUUAGUUAAUAUAUAACGGGGAACGAAGGGAAAAAAGACGUCUUUUUCUCUCUCCUCAUUUGUUGUUAUUUUCUCUCUCUUCGCGAUAUUUGUUGUUCAUUGUUGUUGUUGCUUUAUUCAUCAUUUUCUGAUUCAUUAUCAUCAUCUUAUAUUUCAUUAUCAUCUUCAUAUUCUUCUUGUUAACCAUUGUUCUUGUUCUUGUUGUUAUUACCCCAACUGCUGCUCUUUGACCAAAUUCUUAUGUCAAAUUUUAUUUCGUAAAUCACUUUCAACUUUGGAAUUUUCUUGAGAGGAGACUUUGGCAAGUCAGAUUAUGCUUUUUAAUUGAAUCUAGGUAACUGCUAGUAUGUUGUUUUUUCAACAAUAGCUUGCACGCGAACAUGAAUAUAAUACAAGAGCAAUCUGUUUAAACAAAUCCAUUAUCUGCGGCAACAGACAAAUGUUUUGUUAUAACAGUAGACUCAUGUUGGAUUCAUGUUUAAGGGUUCUAGGUGCCCGUAAUACGAAUCGAAUAGAUGGGUAUUCUGUUGCACCAGAUUAGUAAUCUAUUCCAACAGAUAAAUAAUCUGUUUCAUCAGAUUACUAAUAUGUUUCGAACAACAAAAUACAGCUCCUGUCAUACACAAAACCUAACAGAUAACUCAUAUGUUCUUGCUAUUGAUACUGGAAUCAAAUUAUUACUUAAUUGUAGACAUGUCAUUCGUUAAAAAAUAGAAAUAGACAGCACAAAAAUUAAAUAAGAAAUAAAAAGUCAAGUGCAUCAAACAUAAUUUUUUACAAAAUAAACAAAAGAAAUACAUAGAUAAAAGAAAAAAAAAAGUUUAAUUAUUAUUAUCAUCAUUAUUAACAUCAUUAUUAUUUGUAUGGCCAGCCGACCAAUUUUCAAUGGGCAACAACAGUGCCCUCCGCAGCCUGCGGAUCUCCCGCAGCAUCCUUACUCUGACGGCGGCCAACUCCCAAUGAAGGUCAUGAACCUCCUUCUGCAGUUCCCUCAUGGCGUCUCGUAAAAUAGCGACAUCACACACAGGAUCAGUCAUAUCUAAAAAACGCAUAAGUUGACAAAACACACACGUAAACACAAAAGUAAAGAAAAGAAAGAAUUCGAAUGUAAUGUAAUGUAACAACGUAUAUUUAUACAAAAAUCAAGAAAAAAACUUACCAGAGAUAGGAAAACGCUNNNNNNNNNNNNNNNNNNNNNNNNNNNNNNNNNNNNNNNNNNNNNNNNNNNNNNNNNNNNNNNNNNNNNNNNNNNNNNNNNNNNNNNNNNNNNNNNNNNNNNNNNNNNNNNNNNNNNNNNNNNNNNNNNNNNNNNNNNNNNNNNNNNNNNNNNNNNNNNNNNNNNNNNNNNNNNNNNNNNNNNNNNNNNNNNNNNNNNNNNNNNNNNNNNNNNNNNNNNNNNNNNNNNNNNNNNNNNNNNNNNNNNNNNNNNNNNNNNNNNNNNNNNNNNNNNNNAGAUAAUAUAUUUGUUGCAACAUAUAAUAUAUAUAUAUUUUUUUAAAAAAAUAAAUUAUCUUCAUGACAUCCAAAUUUUCUGACUUUUUAAUUAUUUAAAUUAAUAAAGUAGAUUUAAAGGCACAACUUUUCACCUCCAUUUAUUAAUGACAUUCUUGAUUAUUGUAAGAAGUUUUGACUUAAUUAAAUUAAAUAAUAUUGUGAUAAGUCAUGACUUUUCAGAUUUAUUAUUAUUAAAAUAAUUAAUUCUUUACAGGAAUCAUUUUUUAUUUACACUGAGUUGGACAACAGAUUAUAUAUUUUUUGCAUCAGAAAAAACAUCUGUUACAACAGAUAUAUCAUCCGUUGUAAGAAAUGAUAACAUGUUGCAUAAGAUAAUGUAUCUGUUGCAACAUAUAAUAUAUAUAUAUAUANNNNNNNNNNNNNNNNNNNNNNNNNNNNNNNNNNNNNNNNNNNNNNNNNNNNNNNNNNNNNNNNNNNNNNNNNNNNNNNNNNNNNNNNNNNNNNNNNNNNNNNNNNNNNNNNNNNNNNNNNNNNNNNNNNNNNNNNNNNNNNNNNNNNNNNNNNNNNNNNNNNNNNNNNNNNNNNNNNNNNNNNNNNNNNNNNNNNNNNNNNNNNNNNNNNNNAGAUUUAAAGGCACAACUGUUCACCUCCAUUUAUUAAUGACAUUCUUGAUUCUGUAAAAAGUUAUGACUUAAUUAAAUUAAGCAAUAUUGUGACAAGUCAUGACUUUUCAGCUUGAAGCUUUAUAAUUAUUAAAAUAAUUAGUUCUUUCCAGCAACCCUUUUUUUUACACUGAGUUGGACAACAGAUUAUAUAUCUGUUGCAUCAGUUAAAUCAUCUGUUACAAUAGAUAUAUCAUCCGUUACAACAAAUAGUUAACCUGUUGCAUCAGAUAAUAUAUUUGUUGCAACAUAUAAUAUAUAUAGCUUUUAAAAAAAAUAAUAUCUUCAUGACAUCCAAAUUUUCUGACUUUUUAAUUAUACAAAUUAAUAAAGAAGAUUUAAAAGCAAGAAUAUUUCUGGUGAGUUUUUUACGGUUUAAAUUGUAUUUGUCAUUUAUUUCCUUAUUCUUUUCUGUGAAAAGAAAUGGCUUAAUUAAAUCAAGCUUGUGGUGAGUUUUUUAUUAUUGUGACAAGUCAUGACUUUUCAGCUUAUUAAAUUUAAAUAUCCUUUUUCUCAAUUUAAAAUUGAAUACACCUGGUUUUCAAUAACCCUUUCGUUUCUUUAAUAACCAUUUUUAUUAAUUGAGUUAUGGCAACAGAUUGUAUAUCUGUUGCAUCAGAUAACCCAUUUGUUUCAACAAAUAUACCAUCUGUUGCUAUAAAUCGAGCAUCUGUUUAAGGAGUUUCUUUGAUUUCUUCUAACUGAUUCAUCAGUCGCAACAGAUGAGGAAUUUGAUGCAUCAGAAACGUUUUUUGUUUUUGUUUGUUGAAUAUGUUUAGACAAAAGUCACAGUCACGACUAUUCAUUAACUUUUUUCUUAAAAAUCAUAUCAUCAUAUAGCUUAAUUAAAUUAAUCCAAUGUUGUGACUUUUUUAAAAUUAAAUAAUCUUUCUUUUACGAUUAUAAUAUCAUUUAGUUCCUUAUUAUUUAUUAACGAACCAUUUUUAGGAGAAUUUCUCAUCAUGACCAUAUCCCUAACUCUAACCGCCGACAUGUUGAGAAUAUGAAAUAAAUAGAAUGAUAAUUAAAUAUUGAAUAAGAAUUAAAAAUUUAAAAUCGACCAAACCAAACCAAACCAAACAUAUACAUGGAUUUUUUUGAAUCCCUUAUAGGUAGAUCAGAUAUAAAAAAGGGAAAUACAUAUGCUAAAAAAAAAUUAUUAUUGUUAUUAUUAUUAUUAUUAUUAUUAUUAUUAUUAUUAUUAUUAUUAUUAUUGUCAACCUGACAAUUUUCAUCUGGCAGCAGCUGGACCCUCCUCAGCCUUGCUCCGAAGUCGGCCAAAAUCCUUUGGAGUUCAUCAAACUGUCUUUGAAUUUCCUGCAAGGACUCGAUAUGAACCUUUUUGUACGAAUCUGGAUCUAACAUAUUAGUAUUGUAAGUAUAGUAGAAUGAACGAGAGUAAGUGAGGAGUGAGAGUAAGUGUGAGAGGAGGCCGGAGGGACCUAUUUAUAAAAUGAUUGAAUUGGAAGGGACUGGACUUAGUCAAACAAAAAGCCACGACUGUCAUAUCUCUUUAAAGGAAAAAUUACACAAAUUCCAUAUUUAAGACACCAUAUUACACAAUAUCCCUUAAUGUUUUAAAAAAUUACAUAAAAUCUAAAAUUCAUAUUUACUAGUGAUAUAUAUGUUAUAUGUAUCACUACUGUAUACAUAUCUAUAUACUAGUGAUACAUAUACAUAUGUAUCACUAGUCCAUAUAUAUCACUGCUUAACAUAUGUAUCACAAUUCAAAUUUUCAGGAUAAGAUGUAAUUAGUAAAUUAUCCGAGAUUUUAUGUAAUAUUGCUGAAACUAUCCGGGAUUUAUGUGUUACUUAAAUAAAACUGGUGACUUUAUUAAUAUGUAAAUUAAAAAAACGGAUCUAAAUACAACAUUUCAUCUUUUUUGUUGUAUUUCUGAAAAAGACAGAUUGGUAAUAUGUUGCAAAAUAUAUUCCACUUGUCAGAUAACUUACAACAUAUGGAUAAUUUGUUGCAACAGAUGGAUAUAUCAAUUUGUUUUUCCAUCAGCUGUGGCGUCUGUUGGACUUGCUAGUCAUCUGUUUAUUCAAUUUCAUAGAGAGUAAUCGAUUUUUCUAAACACUUCUUGGUCAAACUCAAUUUUUGCUCUUGGAUUGCUUCUCUUUUUUUCUUUGCAUCCUUCAACCAAACUAAAUUUUUGCUAUUGGAUUGAGGACAAAAAUUGAAUUUGGAGGUCAAGUUGAAGGAUGCAAAUAAAAAAAGAGAAGCAAUCCAAGAGCAAAAAUUGAGUUUGACCAAGAAGUGUUUAGAAAAAUCUAUUGCUCUCGAUGAAAUUGAAUAAACAGAUGAAUAGCAAGUUACAACAGAUGCCACAGCUGAUGGAAAAGCAAACUGAUAUAUCCAUCUGUUGCAACAGAUUGUCCAUAUGGUGUAAGUUAUCUGACAGGAAUAAAAUAUAGUAUUUAGAUCCAUUUUUUUUAAUUUACAUAUUCGAAAAGUCACCAGUUUUAUUUAAUUAAGGGAUAUGAACAAUCAUGCCUUUUUGUUUGACUAAGUCAAGUCACCACCACUUCCAAUUUAAUCAUUUUGUCAUUGUGGUCCUUAAGCUCAGUAUAGAGCUCUUGAUCUUUUGUGAGUUUGUCAACGAGGACCACUCACUCACUUUUUUUCUUUCUUGGCGGCAUUCUUAUAAUACUCCUCUUGGUCCUUCUUAGCUCUACACAAGGUCAAGGAGAAGUAUGGAAGGUUCUCUUUGAGUUUUUCCAAGGCAAACGCUCUCUCAGCUGAUAAAUCCUGUGCUGCAGCAUAUAUGGAUAGUGCAGCACUCAAUACAGAAUAGUUUUUUGGUAGAAGCAAGUCUUGAGAAGACAUAAUCAGUAAUCUAUCAAUAUUAGCUUUCGCUGUGUCAAGCAGUUCUGUUGAUAUCUUGUCUUCUACAAAGAAGAUUGAUCAGAAGAAAAACCAAGUGAUUGAGAUCAUUUAAUCUAUUGACUAAGUAGUCUGGUGGUUCAAUAACAUCAGAUGUCUUGUUUUCGGUAUUAGCUAAUGAUGGGGAUAUUCUGCCUUCCUCACCAUCUUGAAAAGAAAAAGCACUCAAAAUUAGAUGGAGUAUCUCUACAUAACGAAACAAGAUGAACUAACUUUAGCAUUUAGUUUUUCCUUCUUAUUCCCCUUCCCUUUUUAUCUUCUCACCUUUGUCAGAUCCAAAAUUUUUCUUUUUCCGAAUAAUUGAUAAUACCCUGGAAAUUGUUUUCUUUCUCCACUUAGCCUUAAACUCUAAUGGAGUGAAUAAAACUGAAAUCCUCUUUGAUCGAAUGACACUACUGUUAGAUAUCAAUUCCUUUACAUCGACAGUUAAUGCAUUAACAGUAUUAAUCACACCAUCAUGUUUUGCCUUGCACUCAUAACAUUUACAUGCACAAGAAAAGCAAGGAGGGGCAAGAUUGAUCAUUCUUCUACUGUAUAGAGGACAACAUAUCCGUCAUGUAAAAGUCUACACCGUCGCCAUAAAUACUUGCCACAACAAAAGUCUGUAGAAGGCAUGACAAAUAAACAUGAGUAACAUCCGACAUUAAAUCUUAACAAGGUAUCAGAACCAUAUUCAUGGUCCCUCAGCCUUAUCAGUUCGGACCUACCAAACUCAACUGUAAAAUUGCAAAUAUCUUGUUAGAAUGAUCUAUGACUAAUCGGUAAAAACAUCAUUCACAAAAUCAGUGUACUCUAUGUGUGUUUCCACGAUAACAUUAUCAGUAAUACAUACCUCUCACAUAUGAAGAGGUUUCAUCUGCAUGCAGCUUAUUCCUCUGAACCUAUCUUUACUACAGCCUCUUGUGAUGGUCAGGCAAAAGUUGAUCAACUUUCAGUUCUUUUUAUAUCUACAAAGAAGAAGGAAAAAAAUUUAUGUCACAGAAAGAAAAUUAUCCUUCUGCUGCAACAGAUGUAGAGUAUGUUGCGUCAGAUGUGGAGUCUGUUGUGCUUUAGCAUUUAGUUUUUCCUUCUUAUUCCCCUUCCCUUUUUAUCUUCUCACCUUUGUCAGAUCCAAAAUUUUUCUUUUUCCGAAUAAUUGAUAAUACCCUGGAAAUUGUUUUCUUUCUCCACUUAGCCUUAAACUCUAAUGGAGUGAAUAAAACUGAAAUCCUCUUUGAUCGAAUGACACUACUGUUAGAUAUCAAUUCCUUUACAUCGACAGUUAAUGCAUUAACAGUAUUAAUCACACCAUCAUGUUUUGCCUUGCACUCAUAACAUUUACAUGCACAAGAAAAGCAAGGAGGGGCAAGAUUGAUCAUUCUUCUACUGUAUAGAGGACAACAUAUCCGUCAUGUAAAAGUCUACACCGUCGCCAUAAAUACUUGCCACAACAAAAGUCUGUAGAAGGCAUGACAAAUAAACAUGAGUAACAUCCGACAUUAAAUCUUAACAAGGUAUCAGAACCAUAUUCAUGGUCCCUCAGCCUUAUCAGUUCGGACCUACCAAACUCAACUGUAAAAUUGCAAAUAUCUUGUUAGAAUGAUCUAUGACUAAUCGGUAAAAACAUCAUUCACAAAAUCAGUGUACUCUAUGUGUGUUUCCACGAUAACAUUAUCAGUAAUACAUACCUCUCACAUAUGAAGAGGUUUCAUCUGCAUGCAGCUUAUUCCUCUGAACCUAUCUUUACUACAGCCUCUUGUGAUGGUCAGGCAAAAGUUGAUCAACUUUCAGUUCUUUUUAUAUCUACAAAGAAGAAGGAAAAAAAUUUAUGUCACAGAAAGAAAAUUAUCCUUCUGCUGCAACAGAUGUAGAGUAUGUUGCGUCAGAUGUGGAGUCUGUUGUGUCAGAUGUGGAGUCUGAUGCAAUAGAUAUGGAGUCUGUUGGAAUACAUAGCAGCCUUUCUGGUGGUUUGAUUUGUUCCAUCAGUUGCUCCAUCUGUUGGAACAUCAACAACAACAUAAACUACAAACAACAAAUAAAAAACAUCAAUAACAAAGAAAACAACAACAUUUGUUCCAACAAUAUCAUCAACAAUAAAGAAGCAUACAUCCUAUGUUUCAACACCAUCAACAAUAAGGGACAGACCCACAUGGAGUCCUCCGGGUGCACAAGCGUAGACUGAACUCGUAUCGAACUUUCUAUAUGUAUAUGGAAAUAAAGAAAAAAAACAUAUAUAAUCUAAUCAGUAAGCACUCAUAGUAAGAGUUGUUUGGUUAGCCUAGCUGUUGUUUAUGGGUGCUUAAGGCUAUUUAUUUCUUUUGGUCUUGAAUUCAAUUCCCACUCAACACAUACUUUUAAGUUUGGUAACCAACUCUUCUCUUCUUAUUCACUUUAAACUUUCUUUUAUUUUUUUCUCCCAUACUCCUUGUGUUGAUUGUUUGGACUCCGCUAUUUUUAAGCUAAGAAGCACCCACCGUCUAAAAAUAUAGAUCCGCCACUGUCAAUAAUACCACACCACAAGUUCCAACAACGCCAAUCCCACCAACAACAUCAAUAACAACAUCAACAACAAAAAAGCAAACAAAAUACAUAAAAAAUGAUACUGUCAACAAGACUUUUAAACUUCUCCCAACAGAUAACUUUUUUUUUAAUCUUAUAAUAAAAAUUCUCGGUUCGUUUAUUCAAUAAUUAAAAGUUCCUUCAAAAUUUUUAAAUAAAUAUGAUAUGGAAAAAUGGUAAUUAAAUUAAAAAAACAAGCAAGAAGAAGACGAGAAUAAAAGAGCAAUAGUGAAUCAUAUCAUACCUUAAUGUCAAAAGGGGGUCGACACAGCAAUUUCAGUCGAGGAAUCUAAGAUAUGGAUAUCGAUCAAUUUAGAUCCGAACGAAAAUUUAUGAGAAAGAGGAGAGAGAAAAAAGGUUGUGAUAAACCUAAAGAGGAUAGUAAGAAAAAAGAUUAAAGAUUUAGGACUGAAGAAGAGGAGAGGAGAGAUGAGAUAAUUCUAUUUUCUAGAUGUACAACCCUUAAUAUUAAAUGACUAAACAAAGUGUAUUUAUUCAAAUUUAUAUUUUCAAAGCAUAAUUAAUAAGGCUAAUUUGGUAUAGUAAAAUAAACCUCUAAUUAAUAUUUUCUUAAUGGGAGUGCCAAGUCAAUAUAAAACGGAAGAAGNNNNNNNNNNNNNNNNNNNNNNNNNNNNNNNNNNNNNNNNNNNNNNNNNNNNNNNNNNNNNNNNNNNNNNNNNNNNNNNNNNNNNNNNNNNNNNNNNNNNNGGACAGUAGCUUGCUUUAAAAUUAAAAGAAAAAAAAGAUUUUCAAAUAGAUAUGUCGUCUAUUGCAAUAGAUUUAAAUAUCUAUUUGAGAAAUCCCAACAGCUCAAUCAUCUGUGACAACAGAUGAAAAUGUCAUUUGAUAACUAAAUAAAAAACAUCAUAUGUAACAACAGAUACCAGUAUCUGUUUGAAAAUUUCCAACAGCUCAGUCAUUCGUCAUAACAGAUGCAAAUGUCUAUUUGAUAAUUAAAUAAGAAAUGUCAUCUGUUGUAACAUAUAUUGUUAUCUGUUUGAAAUUCUCCAACAGCUCAGUUGUUUGUUGCAACAGAUUUCAUUACAAUUGAUUCAGGAGGAACUAGGGAUGAAAGAAUGAGCUCCUCAUUAACUUAGUGUUAUGAUUAAUAAUAGUACCUACAUCGAUCUAGGUGGAACAAGGGAUGAAUUAAUGAGCUCACACAGUCAACUACAAAUCUAAUUGAGUCGUUGCAUUUGCAUGGUGUUAGUAUUGCAUUCAUCCCAACCCGAGUCGUCGAUCGAUCACUCUGAGUUAAAAUGUGUUCUCAUUAACUUAAUGUUAAGAUUAAUAAUAGUACCUACAUUGAUCUAGGUGGAAUUAGGGAUGGAUGAAUGAGCUCAAAGGGUCAACUACAACUUCAGUUGAGUUUUUUGGCAAUUGCAUGAUGAGACGGUAUUGCAUUCCUCCCGACAAGAGUUAUCGAUCGAUCACUUUGAGACGAACUAAUUCUUACUACCUCGUAUGUUUAAAUAAUACCUUAAUUGAAUAAUCUGGGACUAGGGGUGAGUUCUCAUAGGGUCAACUACAACUUCAAUUGAGUCUUUUGGCAAAUGUAUGAUGAGACGGGACUGCGUUCCUCCCGACAAGAGUCAUCGAUCAAUCACUCUAAGCCAAACCGAUUCUUACUACCUCAUAUGUUCAACUAAUAUCUUAAUUGAUUAAUCUAGGACUAGGGGUGAGUUCUUAUAAUAUUAACUACAAUAGAUGACAGCGCCUAUUUGAUAAUUUACAACAGAUGGAUAAUCUGUCGCAACUGAUGAAUUAAUCUGUUUGGUAGUUUACAACAGAUUCGUGAUCUGUCGUAACAAAUGACUUAAUCUAUUUGAUAGUUUAUAAUAGAUGGGUAAUAUGUUGCAAUAGAUUACACAAUCUAUUUGAUUUGAUCCAACAGAAAAGACAUCUGUUGUAAUAGGUUGAACAUUUAUUUAUAUAUAAUUCAAUUGAGUUAAUAUGUUAGACUAAUACCUUAAUUGAAUAUGAGUUCUCAUAGGGUCAACUACAACUUCAAUUUAGUAUUUUGGCAAUUGCAUGAUGAGACGGUACUGCGUUCUUCCCGACCAGAGUCAGCGAUCGAUCACUCUGAGCUGAACCAAUUCUUACUACCUUAUAUGUUAGACUAAUACCUUAAUUGAUUAAUAUAGGACUAGGGUACGAAUACCUUAAUUGAAUAGUCUAGGAUUAGGGGUGAGUUCCCAUAGGUUCAACUACAACUUCAAUUGAGUUUUUUGGCAAUUGCAUAAUGAGACGGUACUGCAUUCCUCCCAACAGAGUCGUCGAUCGAUCACUCUGAGCCGGACCGAUUCUUACUACCUCAUAUGUUAGACUAAUACCUUAAUUGAUUAAUCUAGGACUAGGGUACUAAUACCUUAUUGAAUAAUCUAGAACUAGGGGCGAGUUCUCAUAGGGUAAACUAUCGAUUAAUCUAGGACUAGGGGUGAGUUCUCAUAGGGUCAGCCACAACAGAUGGCAACACCUAUUUGAUAAUUUACAACAUAUGGAUAAUCUGUUGUGACAUAUGACAAUCUAUUUCAUAAUUUACAAAAGAUGGGUAAUCUGUCGCAACAGAUGACUUAAUUUAUUUGAUACUAAUUUACAUUAGAUUCGUAAUCUGUUGUUACCUAAUCUGAUUAAUAAUUUACUACAGAUGAGAAAUCUGACGCAACAUGUUGAACUUUUGUUUUUUACAAUUUCAAUUGAGUUCAUAUGUUAGACUAAUAGUACCUAAAUUGAUUAAUCUAGGACCAAGGGUGAGUUUUCAUAGGGUCACCUCCUAGAGUACUCGGUCAACUCCGACUUCAAUUGUUUUUAUACAAUUUCAAUUGAAUUACACUUUUGGCAAUUGCAUGAUGAGAAGGUUAAAAAUUACGCAUAUAUUUUAUGAUUUUAAAAAUAAUUAAGAUCAAUUCGGACCAAAUUAACAUUUUUAAAACUACUUGUCAUUCUUUUCCAAAAUACAAAUCGACCCAUACAAAAUGUUUCAUCAUUUCAAAUCUUGAGGUCUCGUUCUUUCUCUCUCAUUCUCACUCACUUAACAAUACAGUACAGACAACAACUACUCAAUAAAUUUGCUCAACCCUCCACAACAGAUCAAUUUUCUUCUCAUUUUUGACCACAUAGGUGUUAUUUUUGACUUCAUUCUAGCUUGUAUCAGUCGUUUUCUUGGUCUUCGUAAGCAAUAGAGUUUGAGAAGAGCUCUAUAUUUGUUAUUUUUUUUCUAAAAAAUAAGGGCUUUUAAGUUAAUGAUGAAAAAUAAAACUUUUAGUUGUAUUAUCUUCGAGAAUGGGUUUACAAUUUUGAGUUUUGAUGGUAAAAUCAUAGGAAGAACUCAAGAAAUCCCUAGUUUCCAUCGCAGUAUUCCGUUGACUGUCGUAUCGUGGUAUUAUUGGAUGGUGUUUGUGGUGUUGGUGGUGGUGGUGGUGGUGGUGGUGGUGGUGUUCGUCUUGGUAGCACUGGUGGUAGCAUUGGUUAGUGGUGUUUGUGGUUGCUGUCGGUGGUGUCGGUAUUUGUUUGUUGGCAUUGGUUGGUAGUGUUUGUGAUGGUGGCUGUUGGUGUGUCGGUAUUCGUGAUGUUUGUAAUGUAUUUUUUAAAAUUUAUGCAUACAUUAAUUGUAAUGUAAUUUUUGUUUUUCUCUGUAGGUAAAACAUGUCUCCCAAAAGAAAAGAAAGUGAAAGUGGAUAAAAAAGGCUACAGUACAGAGGGAUUUAGAGAAGCUUCCUGAACAAUCUCAGUCAGAGAAAAGUAAAGCUGAGGAUAAAUGUAAAAACAACGUUGAGGGAGGUGGACAAGGGUCCAUAGAUGGUGAUAAAGAAAAUGAAAGUAAGAAAGAGGAGGAAUUGGACAGUGAGAAAGAGAAAGAGAAUGAUCAUCAACAUGAUGAUAAUAGAUUACCGAGCAAACAACAACACCAAUAUUAAUGAGGCUGAUCUCUUUAACCCUCUGAAUGAUGCAGUACGUCUUCUUCAAGUAAAAUAAUUCUACUCAAAGAUCAAAAAGAUAUUGAACAGAUGUUAUAUCUGGUGCAACAAAUGUUAUAUCUGAUAUACCAGAUGGGACAUCUGUUGCGACAGGGUAUAUUUUGCAUUAGAUUACCCAUUUUUUGCUUUGGUUCUCUGAGCCCGACUCCUAAAAGAUUAACCAUCUACUGCAAAUUAUGCAACAAAUAUUUAAUCUGAUAAUAUAUUAUUCAUUUGUUGCGACAUACAGAUCAUCUAUUGUAUAACAGAUUACCCAUUUUGUGUAGCUGUUGCAACAGAUGAUUGAUAUUUUGCAUCAGAUUAUCUAUGUGUUUCUCUAUUUCUCUGAAUCAGACUCAAACGAAUUUUAACCAUAUAUUGCAAACUAUGCAACAGAUGGGUGAUGACUUCUUAUAUUACUCUAGGUUAUGUUGAUAUUAUUGCAGACCCAACGGUGGAGUUAAUAAAGAAGUAAUUGGCUGGAGAAACAGCCAUAAGAAGAGCAGUUAGGCAAGGUUAACCUAAUAUUGAGGCUCUUCAUGACCAACCUUUUGCUAAGGCAGAUUCGGGUGCUUCUUUUGGUGGAGUUGUUGGUGUUGGUGGCAGGCAUGCUGAUGCUGCUACCACUCGUGAUGAUGAGCAUAUUGAUGCUCAAGAAAGAAUAAAUAUGUUUGAAAACAACCCUUUUUGCCCUUACACAAGUCCAUCUCACCCUUCUUCACCCUCUUAUUCUCGUUACGAAUGCGAAGAGUAUAAGGACAGAUAGGAUAAACUCUUUCAAAAAUUAGAGGCUAUCUCUAAAGCUAUCGAGGAAUUCAAAUCCAAGAGGUGUGUCAUAUUAUUCAAAAAGGUGAGGGAGCCACACACUCUUACAACGUUGGUUAGGAGAAAGAAAAGAGCAAUUAGAGACGUACUCUCUGCUCGAAAAUUAAAAGAAAUUACAAUUUCUCCCUUUCCAAAAGCUGUUGAAGUCCAGGGGCCAAUCAAGAAGGUGGACAUAUACGCGGAACUUGGCGUCGAAGAGAAGAUAGAUCUGUGACAGGCCAAGAAUUCCAAGCCAGGCGCACCAGAUUACCCUAGGCCUCUCCUUUCCCCCCAAGACUUUUAGACUAUGACUGAUAUGCGUAUGCCGUACGAGGACAAGGCAAGUUUACUUUUCUUAUCCUAGCCCUUCUAAUCUACCCUAUGAAUAAGAAGCUACGCAACAAAUUUCACAUCUGUUUUAAAAGCUGGGUAUACUGGUGCAACUGGUAGUGGUUUUGUUGCAACUUAUUAUCUAUCUGUUGCAUAAGUUGCGUUGGAUUAUUAAUUCAGAGAACCCUAUACAACAGAUGGACCAUCCAUUGCAUCUUUACAAUUACUAACCAAUUUAAAAAUUAACUUUUUAUCUUACAGCAUGUUGACAUAAUUCUAUGCCUCAUGAAGAAAGGGCAAUUAACUACCGUGAAGCUUAUGACGUUGCCGAUAGGAUAAUGGACCUCAACUUCUGCAAGAAGCUCAAGAAUAGGUACGAUCAACUUAAUGGAGAGGCGUCAGCCCUUGGCGUGGGACUUGAUUGCAUAGUUCCUACGUUGGUCUUGGAUGAAGAAGAAACGUUAAGAUAUGUUAGAGAGGAUAGGCUAAAUCCAUACGACAAGAGCAGGACCGAGGCCAAAAGGAUUCUUGCAGUCAUUAGCGUGAACGACAUGCAUUAUUGAGCUGUUGAGAUACUACUCGAGGAGGGAAAGAUCAAUGUUUAUGACUCCAACGUACCUCUCAUUGACGAUUUCGAUCUUUUUCUCCUCGUGGAGCCACUGAUGGUGCUGUUACCCAUCUUGUUAAGGGAGAGUAAACUGAUGAAGCAUUUUCCAAAUGAAGUGUUGAUGAAAAAAUCAUAGGAUUUUGAAGGUCGAAACAGGGGAAUGAUCCUUCCAAAAGAUGAUGCCGCUAAAGCGAGCGGCUCACACGCUUUUGCACACAUCGAAUGUUUGCUGACCGGCACAAAAAUGGCUGAGCCAAUGAUUUUUUUUAUACGACAACACUGUGGCAAACCUGCAAGAGGUCUGGGCUUAUGGGGUACUACCUGGACGCUUGAAGCCUGUGUAUAUAAAAGAGCCUGUGAAAUAGAAAAUUUUUAAUUUCAAGUCAUCCUUCACUUUAUUACAUGUACAUGUAGUGGCAAUAAUUUUUUUUUCUGAUGAAAGUUGAGUUUUUUAUAAUGCAAUAGAUUAUUUGUUGUAAAAUAUCUUUAAUGCAUUCUGGCAGAUAGUUUAUCUGUUGUAAUAGGGUGGUCAUCUGUUGCAUUACGACAAUGUUAUUUCGAUGAAUAAUCAAAUAAUCUAAGUCUAAUCUAUUGCAACAGUGGGAAGACCUGUUUGAUAAUUUCUAAUAGAUGAUCUAAAUUUUACAACAUAUGCCUAAAUCUUUUUGAUAUUUUCCAACAGUUACGCUUGAAUAUAUGUGCUCGACAACACCAAACCAGUAGCAAAUAUACACACCACCAUGAAAAUUUCAGCAAUUAGGCUUGAAUAUUCAUGUGCCCAAUAACACCAAAUCAGUAGCAAUAACGACAAUAAUGUAGUAUCUUCUUGCUCGAUUUUGUUUCUCUUUAGAAGCCUUGACUUUACCCAAUUUUAUAAAAAAGAGAACACAAUUACAAAAUAAUUACAAGUCAAUAAUUAAUCAAUUAAUUAAAUAAAAAAAUAUUACCUUUGAAAUCUUACAAGUAAAAAACCUACGACCCAGAUUUUAUUGAGUUUAAUAGGUCUUUAAUAGAGCUUCAUGACCGCACUUACAAUAUCAAAAAUCUUUAUCACAAAAAACAGUGGAAGAUGUGCUCGACAUUGUCAAGCUCAGUUGGAAAAAAGGAAAGAAAUAAUUUGAAUAGAUAAAAGAAGAUGACGAUGAAGAAGAAGAUUUGGGAAUUUAGGAUUAAAUUUUAGGAGGAAGAUGAAUAUAUAAGACAAUGGGGGGAAAAAUGACUGUUGGGGACCAAGUGACGGCAAGUCAGCGAAAUGUGUCAGACUGACACUGACACACUUGAUGCCUAUUUUAUUUUACGUGUUUAAAAUGAACACUGUCUACUUGACGCCUAUCUUAUUUUAUGUGUUUGAACUGAACACCGUCGAUGGGUUGCGCCUUUUUUAUUUCAAUUCAAUUAACUUUAACCUUUUUACACGUAGUUGCAAUUUUUUAUGUCCAACGAAGGUUGAAUUUUUAUAAUGCAACAGAUUCUCCAUCCGUUGUAACAGUUAUCCUACUUAUUCUGACAUAUAGUUUAUCUGUUGCAAUAGGUUGGUCAUCUGUUGCAUUAUCUCGAUGUUUUUAUCUAAAGUCCAUCUGUUGCAACAGUGGGGAGACCUGUUGCAACAUAUGUAUAAAUCUGUUCGAUUUUCCUAUAGAUAUGUCGUCUGUUGCAACAGAUACAUUAUCUAUUGCAAUAUUUGAAUCUAGUAUUCUUUUUCAAUUAAUAAGUUUAAAUCUAAGGAAUGAAUAAAAUUUGUAGACAAAAUAAAAUAAAUCGAAGCCUUCAUAAAUUAGCUGAAAUAAGUCAACGAAUAAAUGAAAUGUAAGAAAAUUAAUAUGGGUACAGAUCUCAAAAAAUACAUCAACAACAAUUUAAGUAUACCGCCAAGGAUUGCGUUGAUUUGACAAGCUCAAGCUAUAAAUAUCUACUCAGUAUGGACAAGUUGCUCUUCAUUUAGUGCUAUGGAAUUCAGCUUUGCUCGUCGUGGAUCUUUAUUGUCGCUUACGUACGGUUUCUGCGCUUUCUAUUCUCCAUAUUUCCAUAAAAAGAGUAGCAUAUUAUCAAUGUUUUUCAGCAGUAGCUUCUUCUACGUCCACCUGGAAAGCCAAAAUUGGUCAAUGUUAAUCACGGAGAUACAACAAAAUGGAAAAGGAUAACUCAUCUAUUCUAGCAAAUAAACAGGUCUUUCUCCCAUUUUAAAUUGUCCCAAACAGAUUAUAUUUCUGUUGCAACAAUGAAUCAACUGUUGAGAUAAAUUUCUACAUAAGGAAGACCCUGUGUGAUAAUUUCCAACGAAUGAAUCACCUGUUGUAGCAUAUAGGUCGUCUGUUGGUACAAAUAAAAGCAGUACGAAGAGCUAUUUGAUUUGCUAAAACAGACGAGACAUAUGUUGCACCAGAUAAAGUAUCCGGUGCAACAGGUUAGUCAACUGUUGCAACAGAUGUAUAUAUUUAUUUGAUAAUUUUUAGCAGAUGUGUCAACAGGUAUGUGUCUGUAUGUUUUGUCAGUUGGAAGACAUAUAAUAUAUUUAUCUUCUUCAGCUCGUGCUGCUCUUCUUUGAAUAUUGUACGUUGCUCAGUGCAACACACAGACAGAGGAGUUGCAAUUUUACUUUUUUGGAUGCUUGAUAAUGCCCUAGAAAUGACUCUCCUUCUCCUCUUAGCCCUAAUCUCUAAUGAAGUGAAUAGAAAUAAAAUCCUCUUUGAUGGAAUAAGACCCCUCUUAGAUAUUAAUUCCUUCACAGAAGCAGUUAAUGCGUUAAUAACAUUAAUCACUACAUCAUGUUUCGCCCUGCAGUCUUGAUAUUUGCAUGCAAAACAUUCGCUUGGAAAGGCAAAAUUUGUAUAACCAGUAUGAUCAUACUCAUAAUGGUUUGCUUUAAAUACUGUAAGAGGAGCAUCAUUAGCACCAACAGCAGCACCACUACCACCACCAACAUCUUCAUCACCACUAAGACCAUCAACAACAACAACAAGCCCACCCUUCAAAAUUAUUUUUCUUGUAAUGGUUGUUGCUCCAAAUAAUUCUAUUUUUAUUCUGCCGAUGACCUUAGGAUCUGAUAAAGUUUGCACAAACCGUAAAGUAAGAAAAAAUGACUUCUUCAACUCUCGAUUGGUCAGAACUAGCGACGGAUGCACAAUCUAACAUAAAUCAUUACAUAUAUUAGAAUGAUGAUUAGAUCAUUAAAAAAAGAUCGUUAAUUAAAAAAAAUCAAUUAUAAUUAUACUUACUGCAUCCUUCGGGGGGUUGAAGACAUCAAGAAAUUUUGCACUUUUAUCAGUUUUGACCGACAACCAUCUCAAGAUUCUUGGAUAGGAUACUCCUUCCUGGUAGUUCACUUGUUGUCUCAAAUAAGGAAUGGCUUCAAACGCCCAAGCCUAUAAAAUAACUCCAAUAAAUCAAAACCAUUAUUGAGCAAAAAAAAAAUGAAUGAUAUCAUAAUAGAAGAAAGAAACAUUUACCAUGAAAGCCCAUGGGAAGCCAUAUAAGUUGACUGUUUUUGGCGCUAACGGAGUCAACAAAUCUUUGACAGUCAUUUUGAAGCUUUCAUACCCCCACGGAUAGCUGUUAAACGCCUCAAGAUCCUCGAAGAGCUUUAUUAAACCGAGGCUUAUGUUGUUGUUAAUGUCUCUCGCCCAAAGAAUAUUAUGUACAAACCAAACUAAGCACAAUGACUGCUUGUGCUUCUUUGAAAGUCCUUCACGUUUCAAUGCUUCUAUCAAAUUUUUGUUUUUGAAGCUUGGACCAACAAUGGACACCAGGUCAUCACGAUCACACGACUUGUCUUUGCCUUUUUGGGUGUGCAGGGUGCUUUUUUGGGGUUAGAAUAGGUAUAGCUUGAGAAGGAGGAUAACAUUUUAGUCCAGUAACUAUGGAAAACUCCUUCCAACUAAAACAAACAGGCAUGCCACAGUAAUUUAUCCACACCUCAUCCAUCUUAUCUUUAUUUUCAUAUAUAAACCUACGCUUGAGAAGUUCAUAUACCAUUUUUAUUUGGAAACGAGCAUUGUUGUCCUUCGGCAAAUCAAGAUAUUUCCCAAAGCAGCUGUCCCCGAAAUAAGCAUCCAAUUUUUGUUCUCGAAGUAUUUUUCUGAAGGCGUCAAAAGAUUUUUCUAUGGAUGACUUAACCACAGAAUCACCCGUUAAAUCUGCAGCACCAUCGCACUGUAUUUUCACAGGAUAACGGUCAAUGCUGAAGGCUUUGACCAGCUCUUCGGUGGAAGUGCUAUUAGCAUCUGUAUCAUCUCUUUUGAAAUAAUCCUCCUCCUGUGUUCAUCAUAUUCUGCUCCCGAUUGAGAUAACGCUUGUAAAGCAAGCUCAUAGAGUGGUGGAUGUAGCCUAGCUGCUUUACUUGUUCCUUUACAUGGACUUGAUUCGGUGUUUGUUCUUUUGGGAACCAUAUUAUCUAAAAUUAAUAGGAACAUAAAAUAAUAUAUUAUUGUUGAUUAAUGCAUCAUUAAAAAGGAUAACAGUAAAUCAAAUAAGCAAAACAGUAAAAUAACAGUUGCAACAGAUCACCGAUUUAUUGCACCAGGUAGUAUAUCUGUUGCAGCAUAUAACCAAACUGUUGCAGCGGAUGAGUAAUUUGUUACAAUAAUACAAAAUAUAUAUCUUAUUUUUUAAGACAUAUGAAUGGUCUGUUCAACAGAUCACACAACUGUUAUGACAUCAUCUGUUGCAAUAUAUGAGUGAUCUGUUGAAACAGUUAAAUAAUCCGUAGCAACGGCUGAGUAAUCUGUUGCGAUAAUACAAAACAUAUCACUCAUCUGUUGAGAAAGAUAAAUAGUUUAUGCAACAGAUCACACAUCUAUUGUAACAUAUGAGUGAUCUAAAAGAGAAGUUAACUAACCUACAACAACGGCUGAGUAAUCUAUUGUGAAAAUACAAAAUAUAUCACUCAUCUAUUGAGAAAGAUGAAUGGUCUGUGCAACAGGUCACACAUCUGUUGCAACACAUGAGUGAUCUGUUGGAACAGUUAUCAACGGUCAAUAUUGUUUAGAUUUCUUCCAAUAUAGGGUCGUCUAUCACGGCAGAUGAAUGAUCAGUUGAAAAAAUCAAGUCUUGGACAUUUCCUGUAGGAAGAGGUGAUUGGAUUUUAUCCAACAGGAGGUUCAUCUGUUGUAUCAAAUCAUUAAUCUGAUAGUUCUUCCAUUGCACCAGAUGGUUAAUUAGUUACAUCAAAUUUUUUAUUCGAUGCUUAAUCUGUUGCAACAUAUGGUAAAGUUGUUGUAUCAGAUUAUUAAUCUGUUGCAUCAGAAUUAUAAUCUGAUGGUUUCUCUGGUGCAUCAGAUGGUUGAUCUGUUACAUCAUAUAAUAAAUUUGUUGCAUCAGAUGGUUAAUAUGUUGCACCAGAUGGGUAAUCUGUCGGAGGAAACAAAAAAUAGUAGCACGAUUUUGUUCAACAAAAAACAGCCAUUUCACUAUUUUUACCAAGAACAAGAACAGAACAAAUCAAACCAAAAUUGUCGUUUGUCUUUAUAAACACAAACAAUAAAAAUCAAACUUCAAAAAAAUGCAACAAACAACAAAAUAUCAUAAUUCACUUCGAAAAGAUAAGAGAAAAAAUACCAGAAAUUAGGGUUUUAUUCAAACCGCAUUUCAUAUUAGUGCAACAAAUAUUGAAAUUAUUAAUCAAUACUAUAAAAAAAGUUGGCUCAAGCUUCUUAUUUUCUUCAUAACUAAAAAUUCCAUAAUUUUUUACCUGUGAAAGAAGAAAAAGAACGAUGAAGAAUUCGAAGCUUUUGUGGCCGGAGUGCAAGGCUGUCACGUCGAUUGAAGGUUGAAGUCGAAAAAGAACUCGAAGCCCAACUAUUUUGUAGUCUGAUGUUGAAGUCGCCGAGGAUUGAAAUGAUAAAUUUGCAGAACAGUUGGUUGGGAGAGAGUUGAGAGAAGCUGUCGAGAGAGGGAUGAGAGACAGGUUGAUUAAAUUGAAGAGGGAAACUCGAAGCCCAACUAUUUGUCGUCGGAGGUAGAAGUCGUCGGGGGUUGAAGGGAGAAAUUUUGCAGAACUGUUGGUUGGGAGAGAGUUGAGAGAACCUGUCGAGAGAUAUAAGAGAGUAGUUGAUUUGGAUUGAAGAGGGGUGUGGGUUGGGUUGAUUUGUAUUUUUGAAAAGAUUAGAAAGUUUUGAAAAUAUUAAUCAAGUCCACAAUUAGCUUAAUCAAGUUUCCUAAUGAUGUUUGACCCUAUCUGUUGGUCAAUGUUACCAAUCCUUCAUUCAAGACUUAAAAGACACAUUUUCUUCAAUUUUCUCAACUUUUUAACCCAAAUACUUUAAUUUUUUUUACAUAAAAGUAUUUUUUUAAUUUUAAAAAUAAGAUAAUGAAAAAAAGUGUUUGAAUUGUAAUAUAAAUUGGUUGAAUUUGAUUUUAAAAAUAAGCAUACAUUUAUUCUAAAAUGGUAUUUUCACUUUACAUCUUUUUAAUUUUUAAAGAAAUUAACGAAAUAUAAAUUAACGAAAUUAAUGAAAUAUAAAUUUUUACUUAAAGAAAUUAAUGAAAUAAAAAUUAAAUGAUGAACUUUAUAUAAAUUAACGAAAUAAUCGAAAUAAUUUAAUUUCGUUAANNNNNNNNNNNNNCCCUCUGUUAAAUAUUUGGCUCAAAAAUACCCCUUCCCUUAACAAAAUUAAAUUAUUUUGAUUGAAUUAAAUCCUAACUUUAACUUUUUAAUCCUAAAACUUUAAUUUUUUUUACACAAAAGUAUUUUUUUAAUUUUAAAAAUAAGAUAGUGAAAAAAAGUGUUUGAAUUAAUUUGAUUUGGAAAAUAAACAUACAUUUAUUCUAAAAAGGUAUUUUCACUUUACAUCUUUUUAAUCUUUAAAGAAAUUAACGAAAUUAACGAAAUAUAAAUUUUCACUUAAAGAAAUUACCGAAAUAUAAAUUAAAUGAUGAACUUUAUAUAAAUUAACAAAAUAAUUGAAAUAAUUUAAUUUCAUUAAAUACUCCUCUGUUAAAUAUUUGGCUCAAAAAUACCAUUCCCCUUAACGAAAUUAAAUUAUUUCGAUUGAAUUAAAUCCUAACUUUAACUUUUUAACCCUAAUACUUUAAUUUUUUUUACAUAAAAGUACUUUUUAAAUUUUAAAAAUAAGAUAAUGAAAAAAAGUAUUUGAAUUAUAAUAUAAAUUGGUUGAACUUGAUUUGGAAAAUAAACAUACAUUUAUUCUAGAAAGGUAUUUUCACUUUACAUCUUUUUAAUCUUUAAAGAAAUUAACGAAAUAUGAUUUUUCACUUAAAGAAAUUAACGAAAUAUAAAUUAAAUGAUGAACUUUAUAUAAAUUAACGAAAUAAUUUAAUUUCAUUAAGGGAGGGGUAUUUUUUAGCCAAAUAUUUAACAGAGGAGUAUUUUUGACCAAUUUCAGAUAGUUCAGGGGUAUUUUUGAUCCUUUUUUCGAAUUCCAUUAGAGGAAGGGGCAUUUUCGAGCCAAAUAUUUAAUGGAGGGUAUUUUUGAGUCAAAAAUCUAACGAAGAGCAUUUUUGAGCUAUUUGAGAUAAAGCCUUUUCCGUUUAUUAUAUGGUUAAUACUGAUCUACUUUAGUAGAUCAUAUGAAUAUAAAAAACUAAUUUAUUUGGAUGAAAUAAAAACAUCUCAUUUAGUUUUAUCAGUAACAUUCCUAAAUUUGCCAUCUCAAAUCUCAUAAAAAGAAGAAUCGGGUCUAAAUAACUUCCCAAGUCCAAGACUAGGAAUACAAUAAGUAUUAUAAAAAGACGCUUUUUCAAUCUUUUAGUUGAUUCUAAGAAUGUUAGUGAAUGUUUAGAAAUUAAAAAAAAAAUAAAAAUUAAUUAUUAGGUUUCUUCAAUUAAAAUCAUAAAUUCGGUAGACUUUUAAUUUUAGAAAAAUAAAUCAAGAAAAUAUCAAACCCAUUGAAUAAAAUUAUGAGUAAAAUAUAUUUUAUAUGUUAAUUUUAAAAAAUGAAGUAUUAAAAGCUUUAUAUUGGGUUUGAGGUGAUAAAAUAACUACAAGCCAACAUGUAAUUAACGUUUAAAGUUUCAAUUACAAAAUCUAUUAACUUAUAGGAAUCGUAUGUUUGAGGUGAUUAAAAUGAUUGUAAGCCAACAUGUAAUUAACGCUUAAAGUAUUAAUUACAAAACCUAUUAACUCAUAGGAAAGUGUAAGCAAGUUAUAAAUUUAAAUAUUCUGAUUAUUUUUCUGGCUAUAUAACCACAUACCAUAAAUUGUGAAAUGCCCUUAAGCAAGAGGUUGGGGGGUCGAUCCCCACCUCUGGUGAAUAGAGAAAAUUCUGUGGUCAGUUCCCUAUAGCUUAGUGCGCUGAAAGUGGAACGAAGGAUUAAUCUCACGACUGCCGACUGUAAAGAUACCUUGGGAAAUUAAAAAAAAAAGGAUUGAAAAGACAAGCUUAUUAGUUCCUUCGUUUUAAUUUGUUUAACUUACUUUAUUUUUUAGUUCGUUGUAAAAAGAAUGUUUCUUUUUUUUUCUUUUGGGCAAUUGUUUAAUUGCAAUUCCUAUUUGAUAUAUUUAAUAUUAUAAAAUUAAAUAAUAUUUUGAUAUAUUAUGAUUCUACGUAUUUCUAGUUUAAAAUUAAAUCAACUGAUAAAAUGAACGAAUGGAGUAAACAAUAAAAAAUAAUCUAAAUGGAAUGAGGGGAUGUUUCUGUCGGUUUAGUACAGGGCGGACCUACACAUCAAUUAUGGGAGCUUCGACAUCCACUAAAAUCGAUGCGAAAUAGAUAUAAUUACAUAAAAAAUAUAUGAAAAUUGAUAUAAAUUAUAUAAAAGCACCCAUUAAAUAAGAAGUUGGUUAGGUACACAUGAUUUUUUAUUUCUUUGUGUAGUAAGUAUCCACUCUCCUUAAAUUCUGGAUCCACCACUGAUUUAGUAGUACACCAUAUAAUUUUGGAUCAUUUUAAUUCGAAGACACGUGUCACUGUAAUGUGCAAUGAUCAAGUAGCCCAGUAUGUUUAUCAAUAAUGGCAAAAAACUGUCAUGUCAAACCACCUUUUGUAAUAUAUACUCUCCAUUUCAAAAUGAUUGAAUUAUUGAGUUAUGAAUGACAUACCCCAUAAAAAAAAAAUAAAAAAAUUUAGGAUAUAAAUUGCAGAUUACUUUUCACUAUUAUUAUUUUAAUUAUUUUUAAAUUACUCUCUUAGAAAAUAUGAAAUAUUUAAAUCGCAUUAAAUGAAAGGGUAAAAUUAAAAAAAAAUUUCCAACAUGAAUAAUUCAUUUAUUUCGAAAAUUAAAAAAUAACUCAAUAAUUCAUUUAUUUUGGAAUGUUGGGAGUAGAAUUUAACAAAAUACCACCAUCAUUGGAAACUCAAGAACCUCAAACAAAUCAAACAACAAUGCUAAUAGCAACAACAGUAGUAGAUAUCCAUCUCUUGAUAUUCAUUCAUUGAGACAGAGAGCAGUACACAAUAAUAUUAUUGCACCAUAAAACUCAACACACACAAAUAAUUAUUUAAACUUCACUCGAACUUAACAAACAAGACUCAAUCGAGGUUUAUUUUACUAUACGUACACUUGAUCGAUAACCAUUGCAGCAAAAAAUAAAGUGCAGUAUACGUAGUAGGUCUUCUUCAUUUGCGAGUGUAGGAAGUAAUAGUUGUGAGAACAGCCAUAACAGUAAAUCCAGCAAGAAGGGGAGUAGUUGCUAAGUUACCCCUGUCAAAGAAUUUUAGGCUCUUGUUCCUUAACUCGUCGAAUGUAUCGAUCCCAGAUGUUUCCAUUGUGUCAACAAAUCCAUUAACGUAACGUUUGAGUUCACUACUUACACCAAAACCAGCACCAACUCCACUUGCCAUGAAGAAUGUCAUCACCUGUAUUUCAUUCAAACAUACUUUGUUAUAUAUAUAUAUAUAUAUAUAUAUAUAUAUAUAUAUAUUGUUUUGUUAUGUGCGUAUUCUCCUCAAAAAAAAAAAAAAUGUUAACUUUUCCUUAAAAAAAAAAAGGCUGGUUUUGUUUUUUUUAAUUUUUAGUACGUGACCUUUGCUUCUUUUCUUUUGUGCUUGUCAUAAACAAAGGUGAAACAAAUAAAAUAAUCCAUUUGGAAAAGGAUGGAUAUUUGAAUUAUACACAAAGAUGAAACAAAUAAAAGUCAUUUAGAAAAGAAUCGAGCCAUGUAAGUGUUUCACUAUUUCAUAUUCACAUCCACAACAACUUUUUUUUAUGAUAUUAGUAGUAUUGAAAUGUGUGCUUAUAUUAUCUGAAUUCUUUCAAUUCAGGCACAUGUCCUUGUGAUUCUAUUUAAUAGGCUAAAUGUUUGGAUUUUUUUUCCUUUUUUUUCACAUGUCCUUGUGAUUCUAUUUAAUAGGCUAAAUGUUUGGAUUUUUUUUCCUUUUUUUUCACAUGUCCUUGUGAUUCUAUUUAAUAGGCUAAAUGUUUGGAUUUUUUUUCCUUUUUUUUUUUUUUUUUUACUAUGGAUGACGGUAAUACUCAAUCCGAUCAAGACUUUACUAAAACCACGUAUUGAAGUGUGUGACCUUUUUAAAUAUAUCUACUUAAUUAUACCUUCAACAUAUAUAUAGUAUACCUUAUCUACGAAGAAAUCCAACAGACCAAGAAACCUGCCAUGAAAAGCUCUCUUCCCCUUAAUGGCAUAAUACAAUGCGAAUGGCAGCUGAAACAAUGAGUACACAAAUCCAAUUACUGCCGCCGCUACCACAUACCUGUAUUAACGAUUUAUUUUUAGUAUAGCGGACAAGUAAAAACUAAGAAAAUAUAUUUUCAGUAUAAUGAACGAGUAAACGAGUAAAAGUAGAAUUGAAGUAAACCUGUAGGCCUUAAUAUCACUGUAUUUGGUCUUGUCACCUCCACUAAGUUCGAAGCUGUUAGAAACCAUGAGUGGCACUGAAGCUGCACACAACAACAUAGUAAAAAGUCUAAGAACAAGGAUUGCAAAAGCCCUUGGUGUUUCCAUUUUAGUAGUACUCUUCUUUCUUUCUUUCUCUUUUAGCUAUAUUAUGAUCUUUAAUUCUUGCACAUUUUUAGGUGGUAGAGAGAACAACCUUUUAUACCUUGGACUAGAACUAAACAAGUUGUCGUUAUCAUGUCCAAGAUUCUAGUAAAGUGUUUGUGUUGUAGUACUAUCGUUGAAGAAGUUUCCAUGAUCAUUUCACAAUUAUGUUCUUUUCUGAUAUAUAUGUGCAAUUAUAUCAAUGAUUUAGGGAGAUAAUUAAUUAAUAAUGUUUCUGUUUUUGGAUUUCAACAGCAAGUCCCUUGCCUAGGAAACUUCUCUUUUGGAUUUAAUGGUUAAUUACUUGGUACAUACUCUCCCCGUUGAUCUUUACUUGUACAUAUUUGACUUGACACACUUCUUGAGAAGCAAGAAAUAAAAGAAUAAUUUCACUAUAUCACUCUUAUUAAUUACAAGUAAGUGUACAAAAUAGACACGAAAUAGUAAAUUAUCUCAUGAUUUUCUAAAUUAGACUUUUUCAUUUCAAGCAUCUCACUUUAGUUCUACAUGUAAAUAUGUAAUCUUCAUUUAUCAUAACAUUCUCCUCCAGCAUUGAUCCUAGAUAUCUACUAUCUUAAUUAUCCGCAUUGCACCAUAUAUUUGACGUGCAUGUAUUUAUUUGUCUUACAUCUUAUCCUUAAAUCCUUGCUUUAUAGAGUAUUUUUCCAUAAUUUUAUGUUUUUAAUUGAUAUCCUUGCCAUUUUUUCCGACUAACAACAAUACAAUAUCCUUAUUGUUAUUUUUAUUCAUUUAUUUCUGGUGUGUAACCUGUUGUCUCUUAUGAAUCCUUCUGUAAAUGUCACUUUCUCAACAUUGUUUUGUUCUAAAAAUGCACCAUCAGCAGAGAAUUUACGAAAUUUCGAUGCUUUAUGCUUCAAAAUACUGUCAAAUCCGACUAGGCUAUAUCAAGAAGCAACAGAAAACUUGUGAAACUUGCAAUCAAUUUAACUAUUGAUGAAUCGCAGCUCGGUGCACAAAGCAAUAUGCGCUAGCUCACACACAGGCCUUGGGGUAUGAUGUAAAUAAUCUUCCGUAAUGCAAGUAUUAGUAUUAGUGGUCGUUUCCACGGCUAAUUACAAGUAUUAGUGGUCGUUUCCACGGCUCUAACCUGUAACCAAUAGGUCACUUACCGUUAUUCCGAUCCAAGGCUCCUCUCCAAGUGAUUACACAAAAUUCCAUUCUGUAUUUGGUAGUGAAAUUGCCUUUCAUUUUCGAUAUUUGUCUUUUGGCAAGAGAUGGUCACUAUCAUGCAUGGCUGAGGUUGAUGGAGACAAAGAAGGUCACCUUCCCAAACAAGGUAAACUCAUCAUCUCAACCAAAAUGAAAAGAGAAAAAUAAAGAAAGAGGUACUGUGGGCUUGAAUAUACAAUUCAACAGAAUUUCGUAAUUUUAGCUCAAACUUUGCUCAUGUAUCAAAAAUUCACUAAAUAUGUACACAAAUUAAAUUCAAAACUCAACUACUGAGCUUUUAAGUCCUUGUCCUUGAAUACAAAACCCAUAAGGUUCAAAUCUCAGAUCACCUCAGGAGAGCAACCGAAGUUAUCCUACUACCUCAAUGCCGAACUCGUGAGUAUUUUCACCAAGAGGGUUUUAAAUUGGAAAAAAGAAUUGGUACAAAUGAAGAAUUUGCUUAUGUCAAGUAUACACACUCUCACGUACUUUUUUUUUUUUCGAAACAUAAUUUUACCUAUAUAUACAAUGUAUUUCAUCGACGAGGGGUCCUUGUGCAAGGUAGAUCUGGGACUGCGACUCGUUUACUUCAGUUUUCCUGUUUGUAAAAGAAUACUUGAAGUUCAGCAUCCAGAUUUCUCCUCUGUUACAACUUUUCUGUUUUCUCCACUUCGAGAGUGAUGAGGAGAACCUGUAAGGUAUCAGAAGGAACAAGCUUUAGAUACAAUGACAUGAAUGAAACUUUAUACUUCUAUCGCGAUGAGGAAGAAUAUAAUAAAUUGGUUAAUUAGCUUUUGCUAAUGUGACAAACUUUACUCAAAGUGACCUCUCUAGAGCUAGCUGGUGUCAACAUGUUUGCGUUGUCAGUCCUAAGCCCGGUUUAAGGAUGGACGUGGCCUAAAAACUAGUCAUUUUACAACGAAAUUCAAUGUGUUUUUCAUCAAGCAUGCACAAUGUACUUAGCUCUUGAAUUUAUGGAGGAGGAUGGUGCUAGUUCAGACUUUGCACAGGGAUAUACCUGGGUUGGGAAUAGCUAGAUUUGGGCUCCUCCACUAUACCUAAUGUAAAAUCUAAUAAUAUGACUAAUCUGUUAAUGUUACAUUAAGCACGUCAUCAGUUUAACUACGUGUGAAAAAGAAACUACAGAUGCACAACGAAUAAACGACUCAACUAAUGAAGGGAAGGUGUGACCAAUGACGGAGACAGGAUUUUCCCCAAGGGCUUCGAACUAUAAAGAAUUAAACAGACUGAAGAAAUCAAGGGGAUGGGAUUCAACAUCUACUAUAUACAUAAAAAUAAUUUUAACCUUAUAUUACAGUAAUUUUCCGCGAAGGGGGUUUGGUGGUUCCGACGUCGGGAGGAACUUCACAAGCCUGCUGAGACCAGUCCAUGUAAUGUAACAAUACCAAUCAAGAUAUUUUCAUGAUCAAUGACUGGCAAGAACUGAACUGGAGAUGGUGGAGACUCCAUUUUCUGCAUUGCUUCUACUGCCAUUGCAUCAGGACCAAUUGUCCUUGGUUUCCUGUAACACCAAAGAAGUUGUAAAAAUGAAACGUCCAACCAGAUCGAAAACAUAAAUAAUACUAAAGCUUUUUCCACAAAAAGGCAAUUACUAAUCUCGUAGUGUAUCAUUUUAAAAUGGUGUGCCUGCCUUACACUAAUAAUUAUGAAAAUCUUCAUCUUUAAUGUUUGAAAUGGUAAUCCACAAGAAAACUCCAAUACUAGGAUCAGCUAGUAAGUUGUAUGUAUGUAACCAUGGUACUUCUCUCAACAUUGCACCAACGUUAGAGAAAGAACGAUAUGAUCAUGAGAUGAUGAAACAAAAAGAAGAAAGGAACAGAAUUUAUAGGAAUAUAGUUUCUCAGGGAAAAGACUUAUAUUGCCGACAAAUUCUUAUUUCUUAGGUAGUGAAAAGACGUUUUAUAGUCAACCUUCUUGAUAGUCCCAAAGUAAACUGUCCAUGAAUCUAUUCAAGGUGAAAAGAAUGAGAAGAAUACGAAAUAUGAUAAACUACUACAACUAUUACAGCUAGUGACGGGCAGAGAAAAAUCUAACCAACAAUGAGCUUUAAGGGAAGAACCAAAACAGCUCAUUGCACUUGUGUCACACAAGUUGUGUGACAAGUUAAUAAGAAAACCAUCAGGUUUUGAUAGUACAAACAAGACUGACAGGAGAAAUAAAAAUUAACAUCACAAAAUGCAUUUCAUCGGAAGGGGGUCCAGAAUUGACCAAAAACAUCAGUAAAUAUUCAAUGAUGAUUUAUUUAACCAAUGCUUACAAUGUUGAUCUAUAAAAUCAUCUUAGGACUUCAUAAGGAAAUAUAAAAUCAGAAUCUUUAACAUUAACCAUGUUUGAGGUGGAUAGAAAUUAAAUCAUAACAUGGUUGCGUGAUACAUGCAGGAUCGUGCUCAAGAAAAUCAAAGAAUCUUUGUUCAAAAUAAAGCAAUGACUCCAUGUUGAGAACCAUAAGUCUACAACCUUCUGUGUUUUUUCUUUACCGGGGGAAGGAAACAGAGUUCAGUGGAAUCGCUCCUGCUCUGCUUCUCUAAAACUGCAAGCUAAUAAGCUUCUAAACCAGGGAAAGAAUCAAAUUUGGUUAUUUUUACGCCUAAUUUUCCCAUUAGAACAAUAUAAUUUGAUAGAAUGAAGGCCUCAACCCCUACUAACAUAUACAAACAUGGCUAUUCCACAUUGUGCACACAGGAGGCAGUUGUUGCCCGCGUCCUUAAAGCUAAGAGCCCCUGAAUAUGUCAUUUAUUUCUCUUCCAUUUCUAGUGUUGGCGUUAAAGUGUUUCAAAUGGUAUGAUAAGCAAGAAACUUUGAUCUCCUGUUGUACUCAAGAGAAUCUUUGGGGAUAAGGAAGUUUCUCAUGAGAAGAAGAUGCUGCUUAUCGUUUUGGGAAAAGAGAAUCGUGCUAGUGCCUAGUAUCAUAAGUUUACCCUUAAAGAAAUACAGUAUCUGCCCCUAUACAUUUACUCAUAAUACAAAGCUAAAUAUCUUCCCAAGCAAAAUCGCAUUAGCUGGUAAAGUUGUUGUCAUGUGAUCGGGAGGUCACGGGUUCAAGCCAUGGAAACAGCCUCUAGCAGAAAUGCAAGGUAAGACUACGCACAAUAGAUCCUUGUGGUCGGGCCCAUCCCCGAACCCUGCACAUAGUGGGAGCUUUAGUGCACCGGGCUGCCCUUUUUAAACAAUCACAUUAACUAGAGUUCUAAUGCCAACAGUAUUCACGAAACGUGAUAGUUAGUCACAUUUCAACAACAGCAGUACAUGUAUUGCUGGGGAACCGUAUCCAGCCAAGACUCAAGAAGAUAAGAAUCACAAAAUGGAAAUUUAACAGGAUAAACAAGAAAAUAUACACAAAUCUUUUCCCUCCCUCCCUCCCUCUUUUAUUUGGUUCUGUGGGCAGGUUUUUAGUGGAACUAACAUGGCAAUGGAAUAAUAUUCAAUAGAUACAUUAGCCAGAAAUUACCUGUAACACAUAUCUCCUACAGUAAGCUUGAAGAUUCCUUCCCCACUAGAUUUCAGUGUCCGGCGUAAAUCACCAUCAGUGAAUGUGCCCAGUAGAUGAAACCCAUCAUCAAUAACAAGGAGGCACCCGCAGCCUUUACUGGUCAGCUCUACUAGUUGAUCCAUAAUAAGAUCUUGUUCCUUGCAUAUUGGAAGUUCUUCUUUCUUCUUCAUCACAUCUCUCACCUGCAAAUCAACCUGUCAGUCAAUCAAACUCUUACCUUCCAUGAUUUGAUACAAAAUGCCUACGGUAAUAAGCUCAGGUAUAAGUUUUCAAGCAAUCAACUUCAGCAGUAUAAAAUUCUCAAUUUACCCCCUUUUGACUUACCAAGAUGCGCACAUUUGGUCAAAUACAUAGCAGACUGUGGAGAGGUAACAAUCAGCUAACAAAUUAAUAGAUCUUGUUUUCAAGGGAAAACAAGCGAAUUUAGGCAUCUUUUCAGGAAUCGAUAAGAAAUUGUUGGUAUUUGCAGGGCAAACAAGCUGGUAAGAUGCUAGAAUCUGAGAAGUCCAAGAAACUUGUAAUAACUAACAUGUUUACCUUCAACUAAUUGCAAUUGAGCACAAUUGUCUAGGUUUGCUCUAGCCUCUGCGACUAGCAUUUAAUGAAGCACAAGCAGUUCGUACUUCUAAACAGCCAAUACUUGUACUUGAUGCAACAACUGCCACUACUAUUGCUCCUCAAUCCCAACCGCUAGGGAUAAGUAAUAAGAAUCUUUAUAGCCAUUUUGUACUAUUCGAGUCCUAUCAAAAGAUACGCAAAAAACCAUCUUUUAAGAUAAAUUAAAGGUUUUCUGAAACUAGAGGUACCAAGACAUUGCAGAAACCAAAAUCUUCAUUAGUUAAAGCACCCAAGCUCCUUUUCAGGCACCCUGACAAGGAACAAAUAUAAUGGGCAGAUGGAGGUGAAACAAGCUUGAACUCUCUUCCUGUUGGACCGUGGACCUAACUGAACCCCCAAAAGCUAGCUCAUGAGAUUAGGAUUACCUGAACACCAUUUAAAAAAAGGGCAACCCGGUGCACUAAAGCUACCGCUAUGCGCGGUGUCCGGGGAAGGGCUCCACCACAAGGGUGUAUCGUAUGCAGCGUUUCCCGAACACCAUACAAAGAGACUAAUUUUCCUAAUCCCCACCGAUGUGGGACUCAACACUAGCCUACUAAGACCGACAAAUGCAAUGCCAUCAAGAUAAUCAGUUUCAAUUAUUAACUAGCCCAAGUGUUGGUGAACAUUCUUGAAAAUAAAUAUAAAUCUACCAAGUUUCAGAUUUUCACAAACAAGCGUCGAAAGGAAGACACACUAUUUAUAUCAAUCACCUUAAAGAUCAAGCUUUUCCCAAUCCUCCCAGCAGGGUGAUUAGCAGCAUACUCUUCUCUGCUCAAAUUCCUUGCCCCCAUUAAAGCAAUCGCCACGGUAUCCCCCAAAAACCAUCUGAAUUGCAGUAGAUGUCACAGGUGCCAAAUCAAACGGACACAAUUCUCUCUCCAGAGGCAAAUGCACAUUCAUAUCACACAAAUCCAUCGAAGCAUUCACCUUUACAUUCGUCACACAAAUCAAAUAAACCCCUUUAGCCUUUACACAAGGCACAAGCCUCAACAAUUCUUCGGUAUUCCCACUCUUGCUAAACAUAACCAAAAUAUCAUGAGAACCCAAGAUUCCAAUGUCUCCAUGAAGGGCGUCGACAGGGGAUAAAAACCCGGAUUUUAUUCCUAGAGAAAUGAGGGUCUGUGAGAUUUUUGGGGACACAAAGCCUGAUUUACCUACACCGGUGAAAAAGAUGGUGCCUUUGGAAUUAAGGAGAGUUUGGGAAAGAUCAAGAUUUUGAAAGAAAUGAUUGAGGUAAUUUUGUUGGGCUUUGAAGAGGUUAAGAAGAUGAGUUGAAUCUAUUGAUUCUUGAUUUUGGGAUUCUAAUGAUGGUUCAUUUUUUGGUUUCUCUUUGUUAUACCUUCUUCUUGUAUAUUGAGAGUUUUUUUCUGUUAAAUGUGUGAAGGUAGAAUAGAAGUAAUGGUUGUUGAUUCUGUUAAGCACUAGCUAGGGGGGAAGAGACGCUUGUGCUGAACUACCAUCAUUGUAAAUAACUCUUUAAUUUCUGAAUUGUCAAGAGAUAUGUAGGUCGAGCGUCUCUCUAGAACUAUCUCUCUACCCUCCUGAUAAACCUUUUUUUGAAUUCGCUUCUGAGAUUUCAAUGGUAUAUUAUUGCAACAGAUAUAUAAUUCCACCAUAACGGAUCAUGCAUCUUUAUUCUAUAUUUCUGUUUCACAAACUGUUUAAAGUUAGUAAGUACUACUAUUAGUUUUGGCCUUAUUACUACGUUCAUAAAUAAUUAAAUUGAUGUUGAAAUGUUUUUCUAAUUUUACCCCAUUAAUUAAAUUUUUAAGGAGAGUUAGCAUGAUCAUUAUUAAGUUUUUAGAGUUUGAAAAAGAAAAAAAUAAAAAAAUAUAACUAAUUUACAUUUUUUUUUUUCUUAAUAUGUGUAUCAAAUUUUCAACAUUUCAAUUAUUAUGAAAUGGAAAAAUACCUGAUUAUAAAAUAUAUGUCUAUAAAAAAAACAAUUAAAAUGGAGUUAUUAAAUGAAGAUCAUAAUAGUAAUGAAGUAAUUACUAUAGAGAUCUUGUUCUGUCAGCCACAUAAUAUAAAUCAUUUUCUCUUGUUUCUGAAAUUUCAUCUCCUUUGUGAUUUAAAAGAGCAAUAAUAUUUAAAUACUAUCUCAAACUCAAGACAUUUAUUUAUGGGUGAAAGAAUUGUAUUUAUUUUAAAGUGCAAAUAUGCACACGUGUAAUAUAAUAUUUAUUUACUUGAAUCAUUUUGAGAUGAAAUAAUACGUGUUUAAAAAUUACAUAAAAUAGCAUUAAACCAUAAUUUUUUUUUAUAACAAAGAGUUUUUCCAAAAAAUAUUACUGAUAUAUAUGAAAUGUUGAACCAGACCUGGAAUAUUUCCUCGGCGGAACAAAAGAGAAAAAGGGAUUAAAGCAAGGAAAGCUAAGCCAAAGGUGAACACCAAAGAACACAACAAAGAGAGAAUAAAAAAUUGAAAGAGCCCACAAAGAGAGGAGCAAAAAGUUGAAAAUCAAAAUGCUCCCAUUUUGUUGUAAUGUGAAUGGAAGCAUUUAAUAUUCAGCUCCGGUGAGGCUCACUUGGAUAUGAUGUGUUUUUUUGACGAUGUUUUCAAUUGGGUGUUGCUUGUUUUCUUUUUCCUUCGAUCCGUGAGUUGCCAUUUUCCUCUCUUUAUCAUUUUGGUAUUCCUUUUUUUAGAAUCUUGCCCAUUUUUAACCCUUUUCGGUUCUUGAUUUUCUUUUUCCUUUAUCAGUUAAAGUUUUUUUUGAACUCUGUAAUUUGCUGAGAAAGUUGAGAUCUUUGAAUGGCUGUGUGGAAAAUCUAGCUAGGGUUUUUUUUUUGGGUGUUUGGUUUUCAAUAAAAUAUUGGAAUUUAGUGCACUAUUCCACUUGUUUCUUGUUACUGAACUUAUGUUGAACUUUCUGUUUCAGGAGUUUUAUCCUUAAAUUUUUUGUUUUCUUGUGAUUGUACAAUCCUAUGUUAUCUGGGGGUUAAUAGCAUAUAAGUAGUAAAAAAUGGGUAUUUCCAAUUUUGUGUUUCUAAGUCAAUCAACGCCCAACUUGGUCCACAUUUGAUAUUGUAAUUUUUCUUAAUUCUGCCUAUGUGUUGUCAACUUCUGGAAUAGUGUUUUUGAACUUACUAUGCUCUUUUUGUUAUUGGCUCUUCUCAUUCUGUUACUAUUUUCUUUGUUUUUUUUAUUCAGGUUGGGUUGAAAACUUGAAUGUUGUUUGUAGCAGUUGACUAUUUGCAAGAAUUUUGAGUUUUUCACUGUAUCGAAUGGCGGACUUUACAUCUUUAGAUGCGAUACUGGAAUUUCUGCGAAAGAACAAAUUUACAGGGGCGGAGGCUGCUUUGCGUGGUGAGAUGAAUAAACGUUCUGACCUGAAUGGUGUGGCAGAGAAGCUUACUCUAGAGGAUGAAGAGCUGAGCAGAACGUUAGAAGCAAAUGGGGGUAAAGUAACCAGGGAGAAUCUCGGUAUGGCCUGUCGAAAUGGUGGGGAGGUUUUGAAGGAGGCAAGUUCGAGGAGCAGUGGUGAAACUUCAAAGGAGCUUAUCGUUAAGGAGAUAGAAUGUGAGAUUGGGAGUAAUGGCUCAAAUUGCAACUUGAAAAAUGUCACGUAUGUUGGGAAGAAGAAGGAACAUAAUGAAUCUGUUGGGACAUACAAUAAAACCUUCAGUGUCUGCAACAAUGCCGAGGAUACUAUGAUUGAUAUGUACUCGUGGAACUACAAUCCUAGUAAUGUUUCUCUUGUGUCGUAUCGGAACAAUGGUGGAACUAGUACUGCCAAGGACUUUUCAGGCUUGGUACAUAAUCCCAAUAAUGGUUCUCUUGUGUCUUAUCUGAAUGAUGGUGGAAGUAGUGCUGCCAAGGACUUCUCAAACUUGGUACAUUGUGGUAAGUUGAGGUUAAAUUCGUCUGAGGUCUUUGAUAGUGGAAAGGCUCACGCAAAAUCUGGGGAAGAUGUCAGUUUUUCUGGUGAAAAGAGAAUGUCGUGGCCUGGAAUUACCAGCAAAGACAAUGUGGAACCAAAACAUGGAAGUCAAAAUAGUGAACUCAAAGAGUCUAAUCGCCAAAUUAAACUAAACGGGACAUCCAAAGAUGUAAUUGUUAGUAAUCCUAGGUCAAAAAGUGAUGAAUCAACUAACCUUUCAUCUGAGCCUUGGAAAGAUUACUCCGUGGAAACUGUUUUCCCAUUGUCCAAAGGAGAUGUUUUCACAAGUUAUGAGCACAACAUUUGUACUGGUGGUAACAAGGUUGGUAAAAGGAUAACAGAGGGUAAUGGUGUUAGGAAUACAACGAAAGAGCAAGUUGAUGAGGUCGGAAGUGCUAUCUAUCUGGGGAAGACACCAGGAAAUGAACCAAAAGAUUUCAGCAGCUUAGGCUUUUCACUUAUAUCUGAAAGCCAGAAGGAAGAACUACCCAGAUUGCCACCUGUUAGAAUCAAGUCAGAAGAGAAGUCCUUCGAUAUUCAUUGUGAGGAAAAGUUUGAACUAGAUGGACAUGGCUCAAAGAUUACAAAUGGUGACAAUACAUAUGCCAUAGGUUCAUUUCUAGAUGUUCCUAUUGGACAAGAGCUUACCAAUUCAGGUUUGCUUGUCUACUCACUGAUUUUAUCUUGUAGUUUUGGAUGAAAAAUUUAGCCUGUUCUUGGACAUACAAAAAUUGCUAAAUGGCUCCGAAAUUCUCAGGGGGAAUUUUGCGUGUCACAAAUUGAAUGAAGGAUUCAAAAUGAGGCCCUGAAAGCGUUGCCGGAUUAGAAAAGAACAAAAAAAAGAUGCAAUUUAGAGGGAAUAAAUAAUGUUAAACCUCUGUUAAAAGAAAUGCUUCCAAGUCAUCAACCUUUUAUAUUUUUGUUUAGGACUGGACUACCUAUGUGCCCCAGGACUGUAUGUCUGAUGGAGGACUAUUAAAUGAUAUUUAUCUAGGUUGCUUAAUCAUUGUCCUAUUCUGUACUGUUUCUUAUGGCUGGUGGGAGGAGAGGGUUUUGGCUUCUCUUGCCGUUGAUGGUAAAUGGAUGAUCUGUAUUGCUAAUCAGCUGCUUGUAAUGUGGACUGUGGAGCAUCCUAAAUCUUGUUUUCGAUUGUUCUUAUAAAAAGCGAGUAAAAUAUCUUGUUUGUGAUUGUACCACCGUGUUUUGAAUCAUGCAUAGCUUAGGGAUUUCUCUGUUAUCAAGAAAAAUCUUGUUUGCGAAGGGACUCUUGCAUGUAAGUUACUCAGUAGACUUCUGAGACGACACAAACUUAGCUUUCCGCUCUUCCACCAAUUUUGGGUUCUGAGGUAGUUCUAGAAAAAAAACUUGACCUGAUGAUGUUGUCUACUUAUCCUUGUGUUAUAUUUUGGAGCUUAUCUAUGCCAAUUUGAUUGAUGUCUCAUGGAAUAAUCAUCAUUAUUCAACUGAUCAUCAGGUGGAAAAAGGAUUGGCGGAGGCAGUUGGUUGUCUGUGAGUCAAGGCAUUGCUGAGGACACUUCUGAGCUUGUUUCUGGUUUUGCUACUAUUAGUGAUGGAUUGAAUGAAUAUGUUGACUUCCCCAAUGAAUAUUGGGAUUCCGAUGAAUAUGAUGACGACGACGAUGCUGGCUAUACGAGACAACCUAUCGAAGAUGAGUCCUGGUUCUUAGCUCAUGAAAUUGAUUACCCUAGUGAUAAUGAAAAGGGAACAGGACAUGGUAGUGUUCCAGAUCCUCAACGAGAGGAAAACAAAGAGGAUGAUGAGCAAUCUUUUGCAGAGGAAGAUUCCUACUUAUCAGGUGAGAGAUAUUUCCUAUCAAAGAAUGUUGAUCCGGUUGGCCCUUCAGAUGAUCCUGUAGUGCUUUGUGAAACUGAAAUGUAUAGGAGAACUAACACGAUUGCCCAAUACGACAGACAGUUGAUGGAUAAAGAAGAACUGAAUUUGAUGUGUGAAGAGCCUGUUUGGCAAGGAUUUGUUACUCAAACAAGUGAAUUUGCCAUGUUAGGAGAUGAUAGGGCCUUGAAUGAGCGUGAAAGGUCCCGAUUGGAUGAUAUUUAUGUGGACGGUGAUCAGCAUGGUUCAGUUAGGUCUAUUGGUGUAGGUAUUAACAGUGAUACUGCUGAUGUCAGUAGUGAAGUGCGCGGAAGUUUUGUUGGAAGGAGCUGUCAGGGGGAAAUAGGGUAUUUCCAUGAUCAUGAUUCCAGUAUUGGUGGGGCAAGACACAUACCUCCUGAUUCAGAUAAGCCUUAUUCUGAGAUAAGAAACAGAUAUGAGAAAACAGUUGAGCUGAGAUCUGAUAAGUGUGUCUCGGGUACUGAUAAAGGAGGAUCUGUACCAACAAAUCACUUACCUGGAGACUUCUCAUUUGCCCUUCCCAGAGAUGGUCAGUUGAUUCAUACAAGUUCGAGCAAAUCUUUAUGGUCAAGCAAAGGCAAUGCUAUUAUCACUGAUGAAGCUCACGCCAGUCAGAUUGCAAAUGAUGACAUGCUAGGUUCUUUGAGCCGCAAAAGCAAUGAGUCAUCACCUAUCAAGAGCUCAAGAGAUGAAAGCAACAAAAUUGCUGUAGGAUCAGUAAGUUCUAGCCCUUCAUCUUUUUCAAAUUAUGGUUAUGUAGAACGGGAGCAUGUAAAGAAACACGAGGGCACAGAAGUAGCCAGUGCCAGAGUGGAAGAUUUGGGGGAGUCAUUGGAGGAUGAGGAAGCAGUUGCUGUUCAGGAACAAGUCAAGCAGAUCAUGGCACAAGAAGAGGAAUUUGAAACUUUUGAACUUAAGAUUGUGCAUAGGAAAAACAGGCAUGUUCAAUCUCUUGUUGCUUCUUUUGAAUUUGAGUGGACAUAAUACCAGUGGUUUGAUAUUAUUCCAGACUGAAGGAAACUGCUUCAUAUAUGCAGUUACAGUCUUCAUCUUUCUUACUCCUUAUGUUGGUUUUCUUCAGUGCUGUACUGAUCAAGAAUAGAUUUAAACUGUGAUAAGAGAGAGGUUAUGUACGGAAUACAUUAGAAACAUGUACUUCAUUCAGGAUGUGAAGAUAUAGUAAGUCAAUGAAAAGCUCUCCUAUAGCUUUGGGAGCUCCCGUAAGUCAAUGAAAAGCUCUCCUAUAGCUUUGGGAGCUCCCGUCGUUAACAUAUAUUGAGCUAUAUGUAGAGUCAGAGAACUUAUUAGCAUGCUCUGACAACAUAGUAAAGUUAAGCAGUCAUCACUGAAACCAGUGAAAGCAAUUCUCCCCAAGAAUAAAUUCUGGGCGAUGCUAGCCUAUGCAACCUGAACCGUCUGAAUUAGCCAAAAAGUUACAUUUUCCCUUUUCAUUGUUGCAAUCCUUGAUGGACCUCAUUUUUAGCUGAAAUUUUAGGUUUAAGAUAGAAAAGGAGUUUAAAAUAUCAUAAAUUUCUUGUUGGGCCUCAUUUAUGCUGAAAAGGGUGCAAAGCGGAUUUUGUAUGUUUUCAUUUAGAUAAAUAUUCAGUUUGCAUUAUAUACGGAUCAUGAAAAGAUUAUAUAUAAUGGUCUUAUUUCCACUGGAUAUGAAGGGGAAAGGACAUAGUAGAAGUCACGGGGAGCUUAUGUUUUGAGAAUUUUGGCAUUAAAUUCAACAUACAUGCUCAUAACUAAGGGGUCGUUUGUUCGAUUGUUUGGAAUAUUAAUUUCAACAUAAAAUCAACGCAUAACAAAUGUAGCGUUUUGUUUUCAAUAUUAAUAAUACUUGCACUAGGUUAUGCAGGAAUCUAUUGUAUUAUGUUAUCUGGGACAGAAUGUGGAAUAAGAAUGUGAUUCUUCCCAUCUGUCCAAGCCUUGUUGGACAAAGUUACCUUGUACUUGUGUUGGUGGGAAGGUAGAAGGUAUCCCGUGGAAUUAGUCGGGGUGCGCACAAACUUGCGCAGACACCACAGUUAUAAAAAUUAAAAAAAAUGUUGGAUAAGGAUAUGGGUAUUAACAAUGUGGGGAUUAAGCUAUUUAAAGGAAAAAAAUGCCCUUUUAAGGUAAGUUAUUCAUUUACAACUAAUCUAAAAGAAAAAAAAAGGACAACCCGGUGCACUAAAGCUCCCGCUAUGUGCAGGGUCCGGGGAAGAGACCCACCACAAGGGUGUACUGUACGCGCAGCCUUACCUUGCAUUUCUGCCAGAGAGCCCGUUUCCAAGGCUUGAACCCGUGACCUCUAGGUCACAUGGCAGCAACUUUACCAAUUACUCCAAGGCUCCCCUUCUCAUUUAUAACUAAUCUCCUCAUUAUUAAACAAUGCGUAACAAUCCCUUCAUUAUUAAUUGUUGCAUUACCAAUCCUUGCACUAUAAUCCUUUUAUAACUAGUAUAUGAACCAAACAACCCCAAGUUUUUUGCUAGUUUACAGUUGUUGAUAAGAUUUUUGAUUGUGGUAGGAUGUUAGGAAAUAGUUGCCUGCUUAAAACUCUAUUUCAUGCCUAACAAAAACAGGGUCGCUUAGUAAUUAGACUAUGCAAUGUCCCUUUAGGGUGCAUGAUAAGUUGGUUUUUGUACAUAAUGUAUUCUUGUAUUAAAGCUAGACUCUUAUAGAUAUGAUAUUCAUACAUUCACAAAACUGUGCUUCUCUCCACUUUCCAUGUACAUAUCUGUAGCCAAAUUUGUUACCUGAUCGAUAAUAAUUGUGAAGGGAGCUGUAGAAGUUUGUACGUUUGGCUUGAACUGUAUUUACUUGGAAGGAAUUCCACUGCAGUCUUUGAGGAAUGACGAGAGGCUUUUGAAAAUUCUUUGGGAACUCUGAUCUUUAGCUCUGUAACUGCAUCACUUCCAUUUAGCUACUUAGAAGUUCCAGAUUAAUUUGUAGUUUCCCACUUUCCUUAUGCACUCGGUGUUGAUGAAACUAGGCUAGUGACAUAAAGAGAGUUUUGUCUAUCUAUUUGAUUGUAGCUAGUCAAUCUUAUUGACUUCAGCAAGACAUGUUUUAACCUUGUAAAUUUCAACAUAUAUGUUCUGAUUUAUUUCUGUAUUACCUUUGGAAAAUAUACCUUGGCAAGUUUCUCCAACUUAAGUAACAAGCUUUCUUUCCGCAAUUGUCUCUUCAUGCAUCCUGUCAGGUUCUGAAUUUUCCCUUAUAAAAUGAACAUGUUUUGAAUUUUCUUGACCUCAAAUAGUUUCUAUAUUUCAGGCUUUGAGGUGUUAUUUUGGUGUUUAAUGGAAGUUCUUUUUUUUUUUUAACUCAGAACUGGGUUUGAGGAGGACAAAAGUUUCCAGGUUGUUUUAAAUUCAGUUAUAGCUGGGCGAUAUCAAGUAACUGAGUAUCUUGGAUCUGCUGCAUUCAGUAAAGCAGUACAAGCACAUGAUCUUCAUACAGGCAUGGAUGUCUGUGUUAAGAUUAUAAAGAACAACAAAGAUUUUUUUGAUCAGAGUCUUGAUGAAAUAAAGCUUCUCAAAUUUGUCAACAAGCAUGAUCCUGCCGACAAGUACCACCUACUUCGGUUGUAUGAUUAUUUUUAUUAUCGAGUAAGUUGUAGCUUUAUAAAAUUAUGUAUAUCUUACUGUUUUAUAUACUAGUGGAAAUAUUUCUGCAAAAGCUUUUAUGCAACUCCUGUAUAGGAUUGUUGCUUUAUUACCUUAGCUAGCGUACAACGGGAUAGUGGUCAAUGGAAUUUUUGCUUUCCAAACUCCAUAGUUUGAGAACAAAAAUUUUUGCUUUCCAAACUCCAUACUUUGAGAACAACAUUUUCUGUGAUCAAAUAUGAAGAGGGAAGAAAUAUUGAUGUGCCUUUUGAGCUUAUGCAAUACCGUUGUAUACUUCUCAUUGACGUAUCAUCCUGAAUGUAUGCUAAAGAAGCUCUUGGUCACUUUAAUUUACCUGUCUCAAAAAAACAGAAGCUCUUGGUCAUAAAAAUUUGGCACUGAUCUUUGUGUCUGUUUUCAGGAACAUUUGUUAAUUGUAUGUGAACUACUGAAGGCCAAUCUGUAUGAAUUCCAAAAAUUCAAUAGAGAAUCUGGUGGAGAAGUCUACUUUACCAUGCCGAGAUUGCAGGUUUGUUGGAUCAAUAUAUUUAUAGAUAUUUGGUGCUAAUGAUAUCUUGUGUGAUGAAUUUUAUAUAAACCUGUUGUGCAGUCGAUCACUAUUCAGUGUUUAGAGGCUCUUCAGUUCUUGCAUGGCCUUGGGCUCAUACAUUGUGAUUUGAAGCCCGAAAACAUAUUGGUGAAAAGCUACAGUAGAUGUGAGGUGAAGGUAAUUGAUCUGGGUAGCAGUUGUUUUGAAACAGAUCAUCUUUGUUCUUACGUCCAAUCAAGAUCCUACCGCGCACCGGAAGUUAUUUUAGGGCUUGCUUAUGAUAAAAAGAUAGAUAUCUGGUCCCUUGGCUGCAUCUUGGCAGAACUUUGCACGGGCAAUGUAAGUUUUUGUUCUUUACACACACCCCAUAUUGAUUAUUUUCUCAAUUUUAUAUUGUUAACGUGAUUUUAUAGUGGGUAUGUUCUCCAUCAUGCCUGCAAGCUCUUGAGUGCUUAUUUCCUUUUUUCAUUUUUAUCCCCUUCUCCUCUCUUCCAGAUUGAUGAAUUUGACAAACGCAAGCAUCAUUAUAUUUUGGAGUUAGCCCCUAGGGCUUUGGUCUAGCAGUAUGAACAUAGCACGUGAUGUAUGGGACUAUGGGUUAGCCGGUUGGGUGCAGAUCACAGUUUCAAAUAUUUCCGCAGACAAAAAUCUGGAAUUUAAGUAGAGAAGUGUAAAGAGACUGACCUACCCUCCACCGAGUUUCAAACCAUGUGCUAUUGACUUUUGGGGAUUUCUCAGUUAUCAAAAAAAAUUAUGUCUCCCGUUACUAUUGGCAACAAAUCUUUUGGAAGCCCCAGUAAUCCUAAUAUGAAACUUCUUUUGGCGGGCAUUUAGAGACCAUUCUUCGAUCUCACUACUUAGUCAUUUACUCCUGUCUUAUGUUAGAAUCAGAAGAAACCAAUAUCUGACGUGCAAGAAGAAUUGUUGCUCCUGAUGAGUAGUCUUUAGGGGAUUUUUAUCAGAUCUACUGUGCGACAUGUACUAUCGAUUUUGGGUUUGAUCCUGUUUUUUCUAUUGAGAGAAAAUCUUCGCAACUAAGACCUUGUGAAAUUUUUUUUAAGACUUUAUUUUUAUAAUUAUUCAUGAAGUAAGAGGUAUAACAUAAACCAUUUCUCAUAGCUUGACAUUUGCUUUGUCAAUGGGAUAUUUUUUGGCGAUAAGGUAAAAUUUGUCAACUGGAUAUUAGUCGCUCGAGAAAGAUUCAGCUCUGAGAGAAGUAACAAGAGUAUGAUUGUAACAAUAAACGUGUUAGCAACUGUUUAUGCCUUGUUAAUGCAAAUGUUUGUUGUCUGAUUUAGAGAAAAUAUUGAUAAUUGAAUGAAAUAUAAAGUUUCCUAAUGCAUAACUUGACUCCAUCAAAUUACAUUGGGCAUGCCACUGUCAGAAAUUUGCUUAAAUCGAAGUUUUGUAUUAUUCAGUUCAUAUUCGAAAUAUCGUCCAAAUUUAACUUUAUGUUCUGUUUUGAAUUUCGCUAUUAGUGGGAGUUCAUAUGUAUUUUCCAUGUUUGCAGGUCCUUUUCCAGAAUGACUCUCCUGCGACGUUACUUGCUAGGGUACUUGGUAUCACAGGUCCAAUUGACCAAGAGAUGCUCGUCAAAGGACGAGACACUUACAAAUAUUUCACCAAAAACCACAUGCUAUAUGAACGAAAUCAGGUAAAAUUUCCUCUCGUUUUCCACUCUUCAUUUCAAUUUCUUUUUUCGGGGUGGUCACCUGUUUUACCAUGUCUCAUCUUCAAGAGAUUAAUACGUCGAGUGACAUAUAACGAGCAAUGUUUUCAUGUAUCAACAACCUGAUUUAUUUGGAGGUUAUGUAACAUGGAUCCUUCCUUUACCUUGACGUACCACCCAUGUCCAAUGAGUAUGCCAUGGCAUGGAUGUUCCAUAAGAAUACAUGCAAUAAUACACAGGUCAAGAUAAUUGAUUCCUCUUUUUUUUUUUCCUUUUUGUAGGAAACAAACAGAUUGGAAUACUUAAUACCCAAAAAGACAUCCUUAAGGUAUCGAUUACCUAUGGGAGAUCAAGAUUUCGUUGAUUUUGUGGCUCAUCUUUUAGAAGUUAACCCAAAGAAGCGGCCUUCUGCCUCAGAGGCUCUAAAACACCCAUGGCUGUCAUAUCCAUAUGAGCCAAUAUCGUCAUGAAUUAUGUGAGGUCUCUUGGCACCAAAGUUUUUCUAUUGCUUCAAUUCGGAUUCUCCAGUGAUGAUGACAUAUGAAGAAAGUUGUCCAAACUGGGUGUUUUCCUAGUCAACACAAAUUGAGCGCAUUAAAAUUUUCAGUGUCUUGCUCGUCUUUGCAUUCUGUUUUGUACAUGAUGUCUACUAAUUCUUUUUAGGUACUUAGUGAUAGCUUGUGAAAUAGGUGCUUAUCCAGUUUUGGGUUGCUACUAUGUAUCAGAAUGAAAGCAAGAGCAGAGACAUUUCGCGAAAGAUAUAAUAUGCAAAAUGCUCUGGUUUUGUAGGGAGCGUAAGCAUGCUGUGUAUAUAGUUAGUUGAAGUUAAAGAAACAGUAGGCGAAGUGCACCCGCCACCUAGAUACAUACCGUAUGCAGAUAAAGAGGAAUAGGGAAGACACAAGUCGAUAUUAAAUAAGAAUUACUUGUGGUUGCAUUACAUGAAAAUUAUGAGAGUAGAUGAUACAAUUUUGCCACAUAAAAAAUGUUCAUUUUAGACUCGGUAUAUGCGUGCUGAUUAUGAUGAAGCUGUUGAGAAAUAAAAAUAGAAGUGAAUUAGAAUGCGGAAUUAGCUCCCUUGGUUUUCCCUAACAAGACGUCCUUGGCUUCAUUAAUCUUGGAGGCAAGAUAGUGGCUGCCGCCGGCAUCUGGAUGAUUUGCUACCAUCACUCUCCUGUGAGCCUCCUUGAUCUUCUGCAGUACAGCACUUUCCCUGGUAAGGACGACGAACAUAAGCAGCAAUUCAAUUGAUCGUUGGUAUUACACUAAAACCGGGUAAGAUCGAUCAUCACACCUGACACCGAGAAUUAGUGCUGCUUCUCGCCUCGUCAUAUUCCUUUCAAAGCCGCCAGGAUAAAACCUCCGAACUCGAGGUGCUGCUUUGAAUGUUUGCCAUGCUCUUAUCAAGUAUCUAGCUCCCAAAGCAGCAGCACCUAUGGUAGUUCCCACAACUAAUGGAGAUGACUGAAUAGAGAAAGCACCCGAAGCACUUGGGUAAGUAUAUCUAAAAGGAAUGAAUGUGAUUAACAAUACAAUUCACAGAGAUCCUUGCAUAGAUAGCAAAGCAAUCUCUUUUCAUGCUAAAUUAUACUUAACCAGAAUCUUCCUAAAACAAAAGAUGAAGAAUAUGAAACAAAAAGAAAUCGAUAAGCAAAGUGAAAGAUUAAUUAAUUAAUUACCAUGAGGGAAGUCGCAAGACUUGAAACAAUAUUCAGGGUUCAAAAUAUUCCUUGAACAUAAAUGAAUGAUCAGAUUCUAAAUUUGAUAAAGAUUUCAGAAUCAUCAAUUUGCUAAAAAUAGUAAAUUUAUUUUAUGGUGAAUGUUGGAAACAGGGAAUUUAUACAAAUUGCCGUUGAAAAGGUGGUUGGCUUGGGCAUCAAGAAAUUUUAGAUGGCGGUUCUUAUUUUUAGUUAUUAGUUGUUCUAGAGGAUUCCACUCGUUCACCCUAUUUUAGCCGGUCCAAUGUGUAAUCAAAAAAAGGAAUUAUUAGGAUUCAUUCUUUUUUCCCAACCACUUGUACUAGAUAUUUUAUUGUAUAUUUGAUUGAUGGCAACAAUAUAUUUUUUAAAUAAUUUCUUAAAAACUUAGGAAGAGUAAAAACUUGAGUACGUCGCUAUACAAAGUUAAGACGUAAGAGCUUAUAGAAUUCUUGUCAUAAAAAUCUAUCGAAAAUUUGAAAGAGGUAUAUCUAUAGUAAUUUCUCAUGCAACAUCUUGCGUGUUUCAAGCUCCUUGUGAUGAUCAUUUUCUAUACGUUGGAGUAUUUUCUGCGUGCGUCUGUAACUGUUGAAGUGCAUUGAUUUUUGAUUUUGUGUAAGAUGUAAUGUAAAAACAAACACUUAAAUUUGACCUCAAUUGACAAGUAAAUGCUUCAAGAUUGAGUAUGCACAUCUAGACAUCUUAACUCAUCUGCAUUGUGUAUCCGUUGAAUCCUCCAACUUGUAAAAUGAUCGUGUCUAGGUAUCCUCAAAAUUCAUCUGCCACAUCAGCAUUAGGUAUCCACAAGACACCAUUAGAAUGAGUUGAUUUUCAGUUGAGACCAAGUUUUGAGAUGUUUAGAUAUGCAUUCUCAAAGUUGUAGUGCUUAUUUGCCCACUGAAGCAAGAUUUGAGCGUGUGUUUAUGCAUUAUACCUUUUGCGUAACUAGUUACUGGAUGAAGCUUAUCUUUAUCGAUUGUAGAUAAAUCACCGAUCAUAAUGUUUUGGUAGAAAGAAAGCUAUCACUUGCACCAAGUUUCGAGCGAGUUAGAACAUUGAACUCAAUGUGAUUUUAUAUUUUAUUCAGGUUAGAAUUAUAUUCGUUGAGCUGAAUCUGACUAAUUCUCAACCGUCAUAUUCAUAAUUUAGCCAAUACAACAUUUGAAUAAUAUUUUGUUACAAUUUAAAAAAUGAAGUAUUUUGUAGUUAAAGUUGUAGAAGAUUUGGAAAUUAAAUAACUUUGAAAAAUUGUGAAAGUUGAAAUUUUAUAUCUCUAAAUUACUUUUCAAUCAAAUAUACUACGGAUCACAUUUCACCUAGUAAAUGACUACCGAAAUAAACUGGAUUUCUAACAGUUGUAUAUUAGUAUUUAAUUCAAAAUUUGUCCACCCCCACCCCCACCCUCACUCUAUCUGAUCGGGAUCGGAGAUCUGAAUUCUCCUUACUUCGCCGGAGCUCCGAUCUCCGAUAGUGAGAAUGAUCACCAUUCCAUAUCUGACUGCGUUGACCACCUAUUUCAGCUACGGCUUGCUCUUUGCAUUUGGCCAAUUUCGUGAUUUCUUCAGAAAAAUCUUCGAUUGGUGGCACGCUAGUAAUCUACAGGUACCGUUGAAUUUCUCUCCUGCUCUUAUUUACGUUUCGACCUAUUACAGCUUUUCGAGUUUCAUACAUGAACGAACUAUGUGAGUUUCCUAACUAAAAAUAUUUAUCAAAGCUCAAUACAACUAUUGAUUUUUCACUUUUUCUACGUGAAAUAUCACCAUCGUAAUUGAUAAUUGAGAUGUGUUUUGAUAAAUAGUUCAGUUAGAAAACUCGCACGUGUAGUUCCAGUAUGAAACUCAAAAAAUGGGGAUAUGUGGUUUUGACUAUUAACUCUAUAAUUAAUGGCAGGGAUAUGCACCUAUCUGCUUAGGACUUGAAGAUUUCUAUAUCCGUCGGUUGUAUCUUCGCAUUCAGGUACUUAAUCAUCAUACUGCAUUUACAACACUUGUUGCAGAGUUGUCAUGGUUUAUGCUUGAAUUAGUAUAAUUCUGUUAACUCAAUAGCUGUCUAAUGCUAAAUGAGGAUUUAUAUUUUGUUUAGGAUUGUUUUGGAAGGCCAAUAUGCAGUCCUCCUGAUGCUUGGUUUGAUGUAGUGGAGCGUGUGUCCAAUGAUAAUAACAAGACACUGAAGUUAGUACACCUCAUUUGCUUUGGUUAAUCUGUUUAUUUAACUUUCUAAAAAUGCUUCAUUUCGAUUCGUGAUUCUUUGGUUGCUCUUUUUAAUACUGUAAAGGGAACUCUAUGGAUAGAAAGUUACUACAGCUUGACUGGUGAUGUAUGAAUAUUUCUCUGUUGUACAAUUUAAGAUUUCGAAACACUCUUUUUAGUGUUCAGUCUACUUAAAAUUGAUUCUAUACAGGCGGACCACAAAAGUUUCAAGGUGCCUGAACUUGGGGUCAUAUAAUUACCUUGGUUUUGCGGCCUCUGAUGAAUACUGUACCCCACGUGUCAUUGAAUCUUUGAAAAGAUUUUCUCCAAGCACAUGCAGUACCCGUGUUGAUGGAGGUGGGCAUGAUCCUGUUCAAUUUUGCACUAUGCAUCUUUCUGCAUAAGUAAACAUUGAUUACGAAAAUUGUCUGGUCAGGCACCACAACACUACAUAGUGAAUUGGAAGAAUGUGUGGCUAAUUUUGUUGGAAAACCAGCUGCUAUUGUUUUUGGUAUGGGUUAUGUGACAAAUUCGGCUAUUCUUCCUGUCUUAAUUGGAAAGGUAUAGAGCUAUAAUAAGUUCCAUUCUUGUUUUAUACUUGUGAUUUUAUUUGGCUUUUUGAUUAUGGUCAUUUGCAGGGAGGUUUGAUCAUCAGUGAUUCUCUGAACCACAACUCUAUUGUAAAUGGUGCUCGAGGUUCUGGAGCCACCAUUCGUGUUUUUCAACACAACAGUAAGUAUUCACGAGGUGUCUCGUUCCUUUGAGAAAUGACGUUCAAUGAGGUGUCCAAUGUCAUGUCCUUGCUUUAAAUUUCCGUUAUUCUUUAGCACCAUCACACUUGGAGAAUGUUUUGAGAGAACAUAUUGCUGAGGGACAACCCAGAACACACAGGCCAUGGAAGAAGAUAAUCGUUGUGGUCGAGGGCAUAUACAGUAUGGAAGGGGAGCUUUGCCAACUCCCGGAGAUUGUUGCCAUAUGCAAGAAGUACAAGGUAAUAUAGCGUUUGAUGUCUUUUCCUGGAACUUCUUUUUUUAAUUGACGUGUCAAUAAUCCUUUAUACUUUCUGCCAAGCUCGUUCUUAUAAUCAGAGCAUCUAGAUUAUAUGUAUCUGCUUUAUGAGGCUCAGCUUUGCUGAUUUUCAUGCGUCUUCAUCUACUAUCUAUUUUUGCAGGCAUAUGUGUAUCUGGAUGAAGCUCAUAGCAUUGGAGCAGUUGGAAGAACUGGAAGGGGAGUCUGUGAGCUCUUAGGAGUUGACACUGCAGAUGUGGAGAUUAUGAUGGGAACUUUUACAAAGUCGUUUGGAUCAUGUGGGGGUUAUAUUGCAGGAUCAAAGGUAUGAUUUUCAUAAACGAAAUGUACUGACUAGCUUUUUCAUUGGUUGAGUUAUAAGCUUUCCAACCAUUACUUAGUUGAAGAAACAUUCCUGGAUAACUUUGGCUUUUCAUCAAACUUCAUAUUUCUCAAGGAUAUUAUCUGAUUGUAUCUGCUUAAUGCUGCCUCAUUACUAACAUUUCAGUGGGUUCAAAAUGACUGCUUGCUCCGACCAUAGUAAAAACUAAAAUAAAAUUGUGCAUUGGUAGCCUUAGUUGGUUUCUUAAUUGAUUUACAUUGGUAACUGUCAUCUCAUUAUGCAUUGCCUUUUUCUAGAUACUCCUUUUACAUUUUUUUUCCUUAAGCUAGUAUACUCGAUCUUUGCAUGAAAAUUAUGUUAUUACAUAAGCAGGUGAAACCUUGUCUAAAGAACUUAGCAACCCAGUAAACCAGGGUAUUGGCACGAGAAUGAAAUCCCAAAUUCCAGCUGAUAAUAAAACCACUCUUGUAGGAAAUUAUAUGUACUACAGGGCCUGCGGGCAUGUCCUGUCUGAUCUUCGAGUAUAACUGAUUUGGUCGACUGUAGCUACAUGCUUUGUUUCAUGGUUUCUGCUAGUGAACUGUCUGGAUGAUUGAUUCUUUUACUUUUCCUUUCCACUUCAGUAGGAUGUGUGUUCACUGAGCUUUUUCUUGUGGUAAAUUUAUGGUUUCAUCUAUAUGAGGUGGCUUUGACAUUUGAUACAACAAUAUAGGAACUUAUUGAAUAUCUGAAGUACACUUGCCCAGCUCAUCUCUAUGCCACAUCAAUAUCACCGCCAGCUGCCCAACAAAUAAUUUCUUCCAUCAAGGUUAUACUCGGUGAAGAUGGUUCUAAUAGAGGUCAGAAAUUUCGUCCUACUAAGUGCAACUCUACUUUUCAUUAUACUCUUAAUGCAACUCGACACUGGGUAUAAUGAUAGUCUACUGAUCAUUAGAGCAACUUUGGUUCUUAUAGGGGCUCAGAAGCUAGCGCACAUACGUGAAAAUAGCAACUUUUUCCGCUCUGAAUUGCAGAAGAUGGGCUUUGAGGUUCUGGGGGAUAAUGAUUCCCCUGUCAUGCCCAUUAUGCUCUAUAAUCCAGCAAAAAUACCUGCUUUUUCACGGGAGUGUCUCAAACGAAAUGUAUUACAGUUUUCUAUUAUUGUUUCAACUUCAUCCAGACUAGAUUAUUCUCCAAUAAAUGCUUAUUCCUACUACAUGGUAUCCCGUGGAUUUAGUCGAGGUGUGCGAAAGCUGACCUGGACACCACGGUUAUAAAAAAAAAAACAUAUAUUUACUUCAUAUUCUACUACUGUAGGUGGCAGUAGUGACAGUUGCUUUUCCAGCUACUCCUUUACUUUUGGCCAGGGCACGGAUUUGCAUUUCUGCUGCUCACUCGAGGGAUGAUCUUAUUAAAGCGCUUGAGGUUAGCUUUUUCUUGCAUUUGUUAUCAUUUCAACUGAUGAGCAUGUUUAGCUAUGUCCUACCUGUCGAUUUUCUGCUAAAUGCCUCUCAAUAUUGAGAGUUUGUCAUUAAAUAGAAAAUAUUCAAUGAUUACAUCCCUAAAGAUCCGUCUUCCUAUCCCUAAAGAUCAGCUUUUCUAUCCCUCUAAAUCCACUAUUCUAUCCCACCAAAUCUGCUCGUACUAAAGUCACUAUUAUUCUCUUUAACUACUAAAUCAAAUCUAUGUAAUUACACUAAUAUACAACAAUAUAUGAUUACAUUAAUAUACAAUAUUUACAUCAUGCUAACAUCUCCCGUCAAAUUGAUGCUGGUAGAUCAAGAAGCAUCAAUUUGCUGACCAGAAACUGAUGUCGUUGUCGUGCCAUUGAUUUUGUAAAUGCAUCAGCUAUUUGAUAUCACUGGACACGUGCGGAAGAGUAAUGACACCUUUAUCUACAACUUCUAGUAUAUAAUGACAGUUUACUUCAAUGUGUUUGGUACGCUCAUGAUAAUCCGGAUUAGUAGCAAUCUGAAUAGCACUUAUAUUGUCAGCAUGGAGAGGAGUAGGAUUAGAUUGAGGAAAUCCAAUCUCAGCAAGUAGUCCACGAAGCCACACAAUCUCGGAGCAAGCCGUAGACAUUGCUCGAUAUUCAGCCUCUGUUGAAGAUUUUGACAUGCGGUCUUGCUUCUUACUCUUCCAAGAUAUAAAAGACUCCCCAAGAAACAUGCAUCAACCAGUAACCGAACGACGAGUGUCAGAACAUCCCGCCCAAUCAGAAUCACUAAAAGCAUUAAGACGAAUAGGCGAACCACUAGGAAAGAAUAAUCGACGAUUAGAUGUUCCUCGGAGGUAUCGAAUGAUGCGAUGAACAGCCACCAAAUGAAGAUGACGGGGAGCUUGCAUGAACUAACUAACUUGUUGAACUGCAAAAGAGAUAUCAGGCCUGAUAAUAGUAAGGUAAUUUAAGCUCCCAACUAAUUGCCGAAAUAUAGUUGGAUCAGGAAGAAGAUGGCCUUCCUCCCGGCGAUACUUUACAUUCAAUUCUAAUGGAGUAUCCACAGAGGAGGAAUCCUGAAGACUUGCCAAAGAAAUCAAAUCUUGGGUAUAUUUGUGUUGAUUUAGAAACACACCGGAUGAAUCACGAUGAACUUCCAAACCCAAGAAAUAUGUAAGAGUACCAAGAUCUUUCAUAUGAAAAGAAUCCUUAAGUUGAUGUUGCAGGCUAGCGAUUAGUGAAGAAUCAGUUCCUGUAAUAAUAAUGUCAUCGACAUAUACCAAAAGAAAACAUAACCUGUGGAUGUUUUACGAAGAAAUAAAGAUGAGUCAUAGUUGCUCUGCUCAAAACAGAAUUGUAGCAAAGUAGACCGAAAUUUGUCAAACCAAGCUCUGGGAGCUUGUUUUAAUCCAUGCAAAGACCGCUUCAACUUGCAUGCAUCUGAUAUAGGCAAUGAGAACAAACCUGGUGGAGGUUUCAUAUAAAUAUCCUCUUUGAGAUCACCAUGAAGAAAAGCAUUUUUGACAUCCAUUUGAUGAAGAGUCCAGUUUUGGGAAGCAGCAAUGGCAACAAUAGUUCUCACUGUCGUCAUUUUUGCUACCGGUGCAAAAGUCUCUUCAUAGUUCACACCAUACUCCUGCUUGUUACCAAGAACAACCAACCGAGCUUUGUACCGAUCAAGAGUUCCAUCAGAAUGAAAUUUAAUUGAAUAAACCCAUUUACAUCCAAUUGGAUGGACAUUUGAAGGAGAUGAAACAAUAUCCCAUGUGUUAUUUUCUUUGAGAGCCAAAAGUUCUUCCUCCAUUGGCUUCUGCCAACAUUCAUGCUUAGAAGCUUGUGAGUAACAAGUUGGAACAGAAAUGGUGGAUAAAGUAGAUCAAAAGCCAUACCUAUUAGGAGUACGAGAUACUCUCGUAGAUCGUCGAGUGGGCUCAAGAGGAGCAGGCCUUGAAGAAUUCUCAGAUUCUAGUUGUGGUGCAGUUUCAGAUGGCGGAUCAAUAUCAGAAAGGGGUAAAGUUGGCCGCCAACGUUCGUACACAAAUCCAGGUUUGAACCUCUCAGAAGAAGAUGACAAAUCUUCAAAAGUAGGAAGAAGAAGAGAAGCAGGAGAUGACUCAACAUGAGUAGGAAAAAAAUACUUAUUCUCAAAGAAAACAACAUUUCUAGAAACAUGAAAUUUAUUAGAACAUGGAUCAUAACAGAGAAAACCUUCCUGUGAAGUACUAUAACCCAUAAAAACACAUUUAGUAGACUGAACAGAAAGUUUAUUACGCUGAGAAAAAGGAAGAUGCACAAAACAAAUACAACCAAAUAUAUGAAAUUAUCAUAGCUUGGAUUUUUGUGAUAAAGACGAAAAUAUGGAGACUCAAAUAGCACUUUAGAUGGCAGCCUGUUUAUUAAAUAGACAGCAGUAGACAAAGCUUCAGCCCAAUAUUUAGAUGGGACAGAGAACUCAAUCAAUAAAGUACGAGUGACAUUUAAAAGAUGACGAUUUUUACGCUCAGCGACCCCAUUUUGUUUUGGUGUAUAUGGACAAGAGCGUUGUGAGACAAUUCCUUUGUCAAGCAAAAAAUUUUUGAAUUCAUUUGACAUAUAUUCUCCACCAGAAUCAGAUCUUAAUAAUUUAAUACAAGUAGAAAAUUAUUGAGUCUCAAUGUAAGUCAAAAAUAUCUUGAACAUGGAAAAUACUUCAAAUUUGGUACAAAGAAAAUACACCCACGUAAAUCGACUAUAAUCAUCUAUGAAUGUCACAAAGUACUUGAACUGAGCAUGAGAAACAAUUGGUGAAAUACCCCAAACAUCACUAUGAACAACAUCAAAACACUUUGUAGCACAACUACCCAAAUUAGGAAAAGGAAGAAUUUUACUUUUGCCUAAUUUACAAGUAGAACAAUCAAAUGAAGCAGGGGAAAAUUGAUUUUUACUUCCUAAUAAACCAGAAUUUGAUAAAUGAGACAACACAACAGAAUUUGGAUGUCCUAGACGCUUAUGCCAAAGCUCAGUCUUAUUAGCCGUAGAAGUACAAGCAAAAGAUAUAACAGGAGGAAUGGAAAAUUGUAUAGGAAACAAUCUUCCAACUUUAGGCCCCUUGGUAAUGUUGGAGCAAUAUCCCCAACCUUGGUAAUGGGCAAAUUACUACCAUUAGCAACCUGUAUUUGUGAUGAACCUUGAUACUUACGAACAUAUUUUAGCAUGCUUGUUGAGUUGGUCAUAUGAUUGGAAGCACCAGAAUCAACAAUCCAAAAAUUAGAUUUAACAUCAAUACCUUGUAAUCCCAAUGCUGAAAAGGCUGAUACGAUCAUUUGUUGUACCAUUUCAGGAGUAAGAACUUGUCCUGAAGGUCCUGAAGAUGAGUUCUCAAGAGUGGAACCAUUUAUUGCUGCAUGAAAAUUAUUUACCUUACAAUUCUGAGGGUGUGUGGGACACUCUUUGAUAAUGUGUCCUUGUUGUUUACAAUAAUUGCAGAACUUCUUGCCAUAAUUUCUAGCAAUAUGGCCAUAUUCCUUGCAAUUGUAGCAUUGAGUUCUAUUCAUAUCCCUACUCAUACCUUUACCUUGAGCAGCAAAUGCAACAGCGACAUCAUUUCCUCUCCUGAAAGCAUUUUGUGUGACAUAACGCUGUUCUUCACGAAGCAAUUCCCUAAAACAAACAUCCAGGGAGGGAGACGGGUCACGAUUCAUCAAGUUAGAGCGAACACUCUCAAACUCAGAGCGUAACUGCAUCAAAAAUUGAUCUCGCUUGCUUUGCUCAUGAACUUGCUGAAUUACAGAGAGAGAUUCGGAAGGUAUUUUGGCAUAAACAAUAUCUGUAAAUUCAGCCCAUAAGUUCUGAAAUCCAGAAUAAUAAUCCUAAAUGGAAAGACCUCCUUGACAGUAAUUAGCAAUUUCAUACUCUAAGUGAAAGCGUCAGCCACUAUUAUCUUGGUUGGAAACUUUUUGUAAAUAAUCCCACAUGGCCUUAGCUGUCUUGUAAGGCCUGAGAUUAGAAACAAUAAGAGGGUCAAUUGACCCUAAAUGCCAUGUCAUCACCCGAGCAUCUUUAAUCUUCCAUUCACCUAACUUUGUAGGAUCAGUAGGAGCAGGAUCGGCUCCAUCUAUAUAGCCCCAUAGUUCUUUUCCAGUGACAAAUAACUGAAACUGAAACUCCCAUGACGAAAAAAUCUUUCCAGUAAAACGACCACUGAAUGAUUCAAACUGAUAUGAACUCAUAAUUAUGAAAACUACAAACACACUCAAAAAGAACAACCAAAAUGACCAAGAUCAAAGUCCUAGGUGUUAAUUGUCGAGGAACAAUCAACAAAAACCGAAAUUUUCAAAAUAAAUUUUGAAAGAAACCACAAAUGAACUCUAUGAAACAAGACAGCCAAGAGAAGGCUCGGAUACCAUGUCAAGAAUAGACCUUGGGCCUAACUCAACCUCAAAAGCUAGCUCAAGAGAGGUGAGGAUUACCCAAGUCCAUAUAACAAACCACUAGUACAUUCUCCAACCAAUGUGGGACUUUUACCCACUCUAACAACCCCCCACGCCCAGGCCCAACUGGCACUGACGCGUGGAUCGGGAGCCCAAAACGGGAAUGGACCUAGCUCUGAUACCAUGUCAAUUUUCUGUAGAAUGCCUCUCAGUAUUGAGAGUUUGUCAUUAACUAGAAAAUAUUCAAUGAUUCCAUCCCUAAAGAUCCGUCUUCCUAUCCCUAAAGAUCAGUUUUUCUAUCCCUCUAAAUCCGCUAUUCUAUCCCACCAAAUCUGCUCUUACUAAAGUCACUAUUAUUCUCUUUAACUACUAAAUCAAAUCUAUGUAAUUACACUAAUAUACAAAAUAUAUGAUUACAUUAAUAUACAAUAUUUACAUCAUGCUAACACUACCAUCAUUAACGAGGGAUUAACCUAUUGCAUGUCCAUACAAAAUAUUUUUCACUUUCACAUUCUUCUCCACUAAAAAAAAUGUUCUUUUUCAAGAGAGGUAUAAGGCCCAAUAACUACACUUUGAAGGAGGGAAGUCGUGGAAUAGGAUGGUUGUCCCUUCGGGGACCUCUGCAUAGACAAACUUUGAACUUAAAGGCAUCACCUUCUUAGAAUGAGUAAUUAUUUCCUUAUGUUUGCUCAUAAGAACAGCUGUAAGAACUUCAUCAGAAAACAAAAAGAAAAGGAGCUGCAAGAGAUGAGCUAUCUUGUUUAUCAAUCUUUCUGGAUUACUCGUUUGGCAGUUGGUGGAACUAUAAAUAAUGUCAGCUGGAUUAGCACCACAGUAUACCUGAACCCUCUGUCUUCCCAGCAGAAAAGAUACAAAAAUAAAAAAGAAGAUUUAAACAGACUACUUGCGUAUUUAGUGUAUCAUAUUAGAAUCCUGAAUGAAGAUGAUUUCUGUGUUUCAAUUAGUAUUUCAGCGUAUGUAAAUUAACACCUAUCUGAAAAGAAAGGCAGUGUGGCCGUUACUGGUGCAAGUGACGAGGUAGUUACUUAGCAAUUCUUGCUUUUGUCAGGUUAUCAGCGAAGUUGGUGAUCUAGUGGGUAUAAAAUACUUGCCAGGUGAGCCCAAGAAACAACCACUGCCAUCUUUCUUUUCUCAGUUUACUUCUCCAAAGGAGGUCCAGAAUUGAUUUAAGCAUGAUGUCUUUAUUAGGAUGAGAAAUGUGAAACUUUUUUAACUUUUGUACAACAGAGUUGUAAUGUGUACUACAUGGGAUAGUCUUAUCAUGAAUUUUACCUCGAUGUAAGCAUUCUCUAAUGUUUCGCCAAAGAGAAAUGCUGCAAGGUGCCAAGUCAUGGAUAUUUUGUUCUCUCAAAACAAAAAUAGAGAUGUGAUAAAGAAAAAAAGCAAAUCUUCAAUAUUGACUCAAGGUGGAGAGGAAGGAAACUACAUGGUAGUGGAAGACAAUAACAAGCACUGUACAAAGAAGGACAAGGAGCAAAACGACUACUAUGUUUUCGCUGUCAAGAUGAGACUCAUACAAUUCAGCUUUGUUAUUGUCUAUUAUUUUUGUCUUUUCUGUUAUUUGCCAGUAAUAGUUUCUGGAAACUUGUUAAACUGUCAAAGGAUGGAAUUUCAGCUAAUAUGAAGGUUGUAAUGCGUGUAUUGACAGUUUCAGACGGUUUGAGUUCUUUGCUGUUAAUAAUUUAGAGUGUUUUUAUCAUGUCAUGUCAAAAUUUCAUACAUGGACCAGUUGCUAAUUUUGUGGCAUUUGCACAAAUGGUCUUCUUUUAGGCCACUUUUUCAAUUGUCUCUUGUUAGCCCAAGGAUCUAAAUAUCUUCAUCCAAUUACUUUUCAAGGUGAAAUUUAGCCCACUGGGUUAAAGGGGGACAUUAUUUUGAGUGGCCUAAAAGGUCAUACUAUGCAAAUCAUCCCCCCUGGGAAAGUAAAAGUUGCUGCUGUGCAAUGAUUUUUCAAAGGAUUCCUUAGGCAUUUUAUGCUCAGACUUAUUGCUUUGCUUCUCAUUCAAAGAGUGAACAAACUUGAUACAAGCCAAAUCAACAUCAACCUUUCUCGACUUGUAUUUCAAGAGCGACUACAAAGGAUCAUAAGGCCACAAGGAUAUGUGUGGAGGGUCCAUUUCAAGCUCCAAGUAGAGCAAAAUCACAUGUGGGAGAUAGCUUGUAGUCAAGGGAGCCAUUGGAGGGAUCGUCAGGAAGAUAAGAGGAGCUAAACGACGACCUGGAGCCACCUGCGCGCUGCGUGGGCAUGUGGGUCUUAAGCGGCCAGCUUGCUCUCUUUUAUGGAAUUGGGUCACUUUUGAGCCAUAUGUGUAAUAAAUGGUCCAUGACUAUAAAUAUUAGGACUUAUUUUCAUUUUUUUACUUAGUUUAUUGAUAAUAUUGAUUGUGAGACUUCUAUGGAGCUUGGAAAAGUUUUUGUUGAUUAUUAUUGAUGAAUACACUUGACAGUAUUUAUUACAUUGAAAUAUUAUUCUAGUGUUGAGAGGCUA